rnacentral:lncRNA from 1 species
GGCCGGCCUUCCUCCAAUCUACACCUCCACUCUAUCUCUCUCAAUCUAGUAGAAACUAGAAGAUCUAUUUCUACUUUACAUUGGUUGCUAAGCCUAAAAAGAAAUAUUAUUUAGAGAAGAGGUUUUCCUUCGAGGGCACCCCUCAAUCUCUAUGAUAAUUUCUUGUCUUCUCCAGGGGCCAGUGGGGUCUCCUUAUAUAGUCCUCCCCUUCUAUGCGUUUUUGGGUCGGUAGGCGAGGUGGUACUACGUUAUUCUGAAUCCAAUAGGUCGGUGGAGAUCUCCCGAGAGAAAGAGUCCUGAUUGGGCUCAGCAGGUGGGCGGGCGCCCAAGGAAACUGGGCGGGCGCCCAGGUCCUGGCCCCGUUUCGCCUCCGCUUCGGUCUCGUGGCUUCUGGAGUCUUCUAGAUGGUAGAAAAUUGCGCGGUGCGUUGAUAUCUCUAUGUAAUCCUGACAUGUGGGCUUUUCUUCCUUAUUUCCUAAUAACCCCCUGCAGAAAUAGACAAACACCAACUCGUGGAAUUCUGUCAGAUAACACCCUAAGUCUAGAUGUUGAUUUCAUUUGGAUCCUUUUCUUUGUUUAUUUGAUAAUUAAAUUUGAUACUUAAGGACCGUCAACAAACUCCCCCAAGCUUACCUCUUGCUCGUCCCUGAGCAAGGAUGAACUCAAGAGUUUCUGCAGUGGUUUCAUGCCUUAAAAGUACACACACAUUCAAGCAGAUCUCAUCUCUGAGUUAGAAUAAACUGUUAAGACUUAAAACUUACUCAUUUUACCUUCACCAUGGGGCUUGUAACCGUCACUUGUGUCUUGAGCAGUUAAAAGAUAGAACGGUCAAGUCAAGCACCAUGUAUCUUGUUCUUUGAUCAACUAUAGCUCUGGAGUUUUUGUAGAUUUUUCAAAUAAAACUCAGAGAUUCCUUAUAUGACUCUCUCAGAUCUCUCAUUUGUGGUAUUUCUAGAUCCUCACCGAGGCAGUAAUGGUAUAUGCCUUCUCUCAAAGUAUGUGGUAUUUUUGGUAUGAGGCAUAGUGAUAUUACCUUCUCUCUCACCCUACUCUAAUAAGGUUUGAUAUCUGGAGCUCAUAGGUGGGAGACAGAUAAUACAUACUUACAAGACAUUUAUUGCAUAGUCAAGCCAUGGAUCCAGAGAAACAAGUCAAUAAGUCAAAUCAAGAUGUGCAUGUGUGGCGAAUGAAUGGUGUAUGGUGAUGAUGGUGAUAAUAAUGGUGAAAGUCUAAUUCUACUUUUGCUCUUUUGAGGGGAUACAUACCUUUCUUGCACUUUGAAGCUUUUUGAGGAUAAUGAGAUGCUCUAUAUUUUCUUUUUCUUUCCUCUCAGGUGGGUAUCUUGUACCCCUAAUUCUACUGUCGGACACUUGCCCAUUUUUACCUCUCGUCUCACUUUUUUCUUUUUCUUCGAGGUUCCGGGCACUUGCCCCUUUUUAUUUCCUCGUAUUUUUUUCUUCUCUCUUUUUUUUGUUUUUUUAGAGCACUCAUCUCCUGAAAUAAUGGAGCAUUUAUUUCAUAGGGAUUAAUAGGGAUAGGAAAAUAUUUUUGGCUAUUCUCUCCCGGAUAGGAGUAGAAUACUUUUGGGUGGUUUUGGAGAUAGAAAUGAGUGGAUAUAUGUGGAUGGUACUUCCGGAGUAGAAGUAGCAUGUAUGAGUGAACGUGCAAGUGAAUCUUGAUUUUAACCACAUAACAAGCUCCUAAGGGUCUAUACAGCUUGACCACACUCAAUGCUCAUAAGCAGUAAAAAGUAAAUAUGUGGCUCAAAGUCUAGCAAGCAUGUAUAUAUGGCUGUGGUAGGAAUUUAAACUCUCAUCAUAUAGGAGCUCAUCAUGUGUUAUUUUAAAGAUUUUUCAAAGAUAAAAUUCUCUAGAAUUCUAGCAUCUCUAGGAACAGAUAAACAGCAGCUCAACCUUCCCAUAUAAUAUCCGUUAACAACUUAGACUUUAGAUCAAGUACUCUUCCCACAAGUUCAGGUUUAGAGCAAAUCUUACUUCAUAACAAUCAUGCCUAAACUUGAGAGAGAUUUCAAUUUUAAGAACUAGUCAUGGCAGAGCAACUAUUCAUCAUUUCCAUGUGAGAGUUUAUCAUGAGUGUUCAUAGCAAACUUUAUUUAUUUAGCAAACUAAGCAAAGAUAUAUAUAUAUAUAAAAGCACAAAAUUUUUAUUUGGGUUUUCAUGAUUAUGCAUCUUUUAUUAUUUGAGUAAAGUAUAAACGCGAGUAGAAAUACUUAGCUGGAUAAAUGGGGGUGCUCUCCCCCAAGCUGGAUUUUGACGUAAUUUCUUCUGAUGUAGCUAGCAGGUGAUGGAGGUGCAUUUGAAAGUCGGCAGCACCCUGACAGCGAUUAGGAUGUCCUCUGUCUGCUAGUCUUCUUUGAUCCUUGAAUUAUGUGGAGCUCAAAUAGACAACAAAGCUUUGUGGAACUGGUUAAGUGUUAGCAUAAAUAUCUAGCCUUUAUCAUGUUGAGCCUCCUCAAUAAAUGUUACUUAUUUAGCAGGAUCAUGCACUUAUUAUUUUUAUAUUUUUAUUGUAAGAUGAAAACUUAUUUAUUUUAUUUUUAUGCCACCACAGUGAAUGUACUUAUGGGUUUUAUGCCAUGAGCAUACUCACAUGGGGCUUACUAUUUUUUUAACAUUUUUAUUUUCUUUUCUAGAUAGCAUGAACCUGAUUAACUAAGCAAACUAUUGAAUGGAAAAGGAUAACUACCAAGUUUACCUCUUGGCAAGGCGUUCGGUAUUUUUAAGUCCUCCAAACGGGACUCUCCAUUUUCUCAGUCAUCCUGGGAUUCUCUAGAUGGCGUAGUCGGUGAUUCUGACGGCGCCUCUCUUCGUGUAUAACUAUCUUCUCCCUCCACACCUGACUCGGUGCUACGGUCUCCUCAGGACAGUUCUGUUAAAGCUGUAUGUCUUCUGACCUUAUCACUUCUCCUUCGUAGUCUACCCAUUCGUCCUUAAUGAUUUGCCUCCUCUGGUUGCGGUUGCGUUGUCUUCUUCUUGUUCUGACCUGCUUAGAAUCUUCAACUAUAUAGUUAGAAUCAUUAAAGUAGUGGCGUACCUUCUCAGAGGGGAAGUGCAUGUGGACUUCUCUGGUUCCAAUGUAGAUGAUUGCUUUGAUAGUGUUGAGGAACGGUCUUCCAAGGAUGAUGGGUGGAUCGUACUCGUCUUCUCCCAUGUUAAUGACCUGAAAAUUACCUGGAGCUGAAUGUAUGUUGGUUGUAGGGGCAUGAUUCCAUGGAGGAGCUGAUAAGUGACUGCGGCCAUUAUGUUGUCGUUAGAUCCGAUGUCGUAGUGUGUCUUCUAAAAAGAGUAUCCAUUGAUUGUGCACUCAAUGCUUGGAACACCAGGGUCGUCCUUCUUGAUCAAGAAAGGUGACUUGAGUCGACGAUCUUGACCUCCUUGAGCUGCAGUGACCAUCUCAGCUGACUCGGUCCACAUUUGCUUGUUCUUGUUCCUUCUGUUGGUCCUCUUCCUUGGUUGAUGUCAGGAUUGCUCUGAAGUUUGUGUAGUCUUGUUCUUGAAGGAAAGUCUCCUUCUUCCCUUUGACGUAGAGACUGAUCUUGGCAGCAUUAGCGUAGAUGACAGCUCUGGUGUUUAGGAAUGGCCUCCCUAAGAUGAUGGGUGCCCUCUCCUUAGUACCAGUCUCUAUCACCACGAAGUUUGCUGGAGCGUACAAGGUACCAACUCGGACACAGAGGUUCUUCAAUAUUUCCUUUGGGAAACUAAGUGUCUGAUCUCCAUUGUGUUUGUUCUCGUAGAUCCCGGUUCUUCACUUGGUGGAAUCUGGGAGUUGUAAAACUCCUCCAUGUUUUGUUUGAAGUGUACCUAUUCAUAGAGACAAGGCAGAGAUCAAGUGCAUGGGGCCUGUUGGUGGAAAACACCAACAGAACCAAAAGUGUAUUUGUUCUUCUCUAACCUUAAGCAUAGUGAGCAAGACAAAGUUGAUAGGAUCAUGAGUGUAGGAUUUGAAACAUUUGUCGGAUCAUAUAGCUCAACCUAAUGGAAAGAUAAUCUAUCUAUAUUUAUGUUUUGUUUAUAUCUUCCGAAGAUUGAAUGUGCAACAUUUUAGCUUAUAUGAUUAGGAGUGUGGGAUCACGAAGGUAGUACUAAGAACAAAGAUUAAAGGACUAAUCAUGUUGAAUUAAUUGGGUUGGUUAAUUUGGAGUUAUGAAUCAUACAUGUUUGUCUCUUUUUUUAUGUGAAUGCUAGAACCAAGGAGAAGCUUAUAAAAGUGAUAGUCAAGUACCUUAGAAUGUUACCUUACUUGAAGAGUGGCGGUACAGUAUCACCUUGUAGAAGCUUUCCUUUCUUAGCGGUUGUGCAUCGUGUUUGUGGCACCCUCCAUGGAUCAUCUCUUAUGAGCUACGUCUUCCUCGUGUAAAUUGUUAAACUUCAUGUGUCCCUCUCCUUGUCUCCAAUGUGAGUUUAUCUCAGGACUUCCCAGGUUGAUAUUGAAAGUUUUCCUGCAGGGGUUAGUCUGACAAAAUAUACCAAUGCCUACUCAAGCAGUUUUUAGUUCAGUAACCAAACUAGACUCCAUGUCUAAUCAGAUUAAGGGAGGCUAUUUAACCUAAGCACCACGCUUAAUUUAAAAGCCAAUAGAAGUAUGUACAGUACUUCCAAACUAACACUUACUAGGAUAAACAAAGGUAGCAUGAUGGCUUAUAAAGAUCUACUUAAGUGGAGAUGAAGUAGUGUGAUUAGUAUUUAACAAAUUGAGCAUGUCUCAAAGGUAAGGACAACCAACAUAGCAACAUGGCAAAGGAUGUUUUUAUGUGAAGUACUCCCCAAGCUUGAAUUUUGCAAAAUUCAAGAUUAGAUGAAUUUAAUUCAAUGUUGCAUGAUGAUUGGUUGGACAUACCUUGUGCUUGUCAUUCCUCGGAUUUUCUUGCUCCAAUCCUGGAAAGGUUAGUGACAAGAAUACCCGAAGGAAUAUUUCUACAAUUAUCUCUAUAUGCUCAAUACACAAGGUAAUGUUGCAAAUAAUUAGAAGUUCAUGUCACGAUCUAAUAGGUGCUUGUUUUAGGACACUAAGCUUGUCCUUGGGAAACCAUCAAUCAACUCAACGAGAUCUGCAAUAUUUAUUAUAGACAUAUGCAUCGACAACCACCCUUUUAAAGUUUUUAUAAAUAGAAAGGAAGAGGGGGUUGGAGAUCUCAAAUGUGGUAAGGAUGGAGAGACCUAUUGAUUGGGGAGAUGUUUUAUAUGAGCAAGGACUUGGUAAGGUAUUUAUGAAAUAACUUCCAUGCUCACUGUUGUUUCUCUCAUUCUCAAACUCCAAGGAUGAUUCUUCAUGAAUGCUUAAAAUUCCUCUAGGAUUGUCUCUCAAGUUUGUUUUAUCUAUCCAUUCAAUGGUGAUAGCACAUGGAUUUUUAAUGCCCUCUAGCCAUUGAUGUUGCUCUUCUCGAUCCUCCUUGUAGUCUUGGUGACUCUUAUGAAUGAGAUGUCUAGAUAGAUUCAUAGGAUUAUCGGGAGGUUCAAGAGAAAUAGCAUAGUAGAAAUUAUUAAGCUCAAGGAUGGGAUGGAUAGCCGAAUUAUGGGAUUGAAAUGUUUGGAAAUCGGCUAUUAAAACUUCCUUUCCUCGUCUGGGAGAUGAUUCCUCCUCUAUAUCUAAGAUUUUUCUAUGAAGACUAGUACAAGAAGGAUGUCCACGAAUGAAGACAUACCUUCCUUUACUAAUAGAUAAAGAAAGAAAGACUCUGCCAAAGGUUAUAUGAUUAAGACCAAUGUGAAAAUAUCUAGGAAAAACAUGGUCUUGUAGGGCUAGGUCUAAACCAGAAUUUAUAAAAAGAUUAAAAGAUUCCCUAGGUGUAGCUAAAAGUGCAUUAUCUUCUUGAUUAAAAGAUAGGACCUCGGCUAUAGAAAAGGGUUGGUUUUGACCUAUUGCAAUCAACUCCGGACACAGAUCAUAAUUAGGGGCAGGACGUGUUGACUCCCAUGGUCUAUGGCUGGUCUCCGAAGGUGCAAAGAAUUCAAUAAUAGGUAUGGAAUUUAAGUUAUCCAGAAAGAUAAAAAGAUAAAAGAAUAAAAGUAUAAAAGUAUAAUACAAGAUAAUAGCAAGACUCAAAGUUAUCUCAGCAAACAGUCUUUCUCCCCGGCAACGGCGCCAGAAAUGCUUGUUGAUAUUUGGUAACGCAAUAAGGAAAUAAUCCACAAGCGCACGGAUAUCGGUGAGCAUUUCACCCGGGAGGUUAUCCAGAGUUAUCGUAUUUAUAUUUUUACCACUGGGAGAAAGGGUGCAUCUGACUAACCAAAUCUAUUGCUACUAUCCCUUUAAGCUUCAAAGAAUGUCUCUCGAUGUGAGUGAUGUAUAGAGAAGACUGCAACCGUAGUCUCGUUCUAACCUUGGUAAGGAUGAUCUACUGUUCUAUUGGGGAGGCUCACGGAAUCUAGACAACACAAAGGAUGUUCGACCCGCACCUAUAAACCCUACCCGUCCUGCUAACAAGAUAUGGGAUACAAAGGUAACUCGGAAAUGUCACGUUCCUCGCUACUACCACGGUCCAGCUAGUCAGGGGAUCUCUAUGAGUACCCUAGCCUAAACACCACGUUUACGCCAGCAAUGAUUACUCUAAUACUCAACCGGAAGAGGAUUAAAGUAAACUCAUAAACCAAAGAACAAUAAAACAAGAACUUACUAGCAUUAGAAGUCGAGUUACUGAAGAAUCUUAGAAGCAAGCCUCGGGUUAGGAGACAUGAUCCUGUAGGUACUACUCGGAGUAGACACAGACAGGCCGGCCUUCCUCCGAUCUACUCCUCCACUCUAUCUCUCUCAAUCUAGUGGAAACUAGAAGAUCUAUUUCUACUUUACAUUGGUUGCUAAGCCUAAAAAGAAAUAUUAUUUAGAGAAGAGGUUUUCCUUCGAGGGCACCCCUCAAUCUCUAUGAUAAUUUCUUGUCUUCUCCAGGGGCCAGGGGGGUCUCCUUAUAUAGUCCUCCCCUUCUAUGCGUUUUUGGGUCGGUAGGCGAGGUGGUACUACGUUAUUUUGAAUCCAAUAGGUCGGUGGAGAUCUCCCGAGAGAAAGAGUCCUGAUUGGGCUCAGUAGGUGGGCAGGCGCCCAAGGAAACUGGGCGGGCGCCCAGGUCCUGGCCCCGUUUCGCCUCCGCUUCAGUCUCGUGGCUUCUGGAGUCUUUUAGAUGGUAGAAAAUUGCGCGGUGCAUUGAUAUCUCUAUGUAAUCCUGACAUGUGGGCCUUUCUUCCUUAUUUCCUGAUAACCCCCUGCAGAAAUAGACAAACACCAAAACUCGUGGAAUUCUGUCAGAUAAAACCCUAAGUCUAGAUGUUGAUUUCAUUUGGAUCCUUUUCUUUGUUUAUUUGAUAAUUAAAUUUGAUACUUAAGGACCGUCAACAAUCCUCAACUUUAAUUGAUCAUCAAGCAAAGAGAGUUCACUCACCAACAAGAUUGACAAGUGAAUCACCCAUGCUAUGACAUAGGGGGAGUGCCCCACAAAAUGGUAUCAACAUCAAAGAUCCUAUUUGGUAUCUCAAGAGCAAUUCAAGUAAUGUCAUUCCAACACAUAUGGUUAUGUCCAUAAAAAAUGCAAGAUUCAAGUCUCAACCAUCUACCCCAUACGCAAUCCUUUGUCACAGUAAGAUGUACACUUUUUGAAAUGGUAUCAAGUGAUUUAAUCGGUAUCACAUACUUUUUAUGGAAAUUGAUGACAAAGGGGGAGAAAUUGGAACAAAGAUAUGAUCAUGGGAUAAGUUGUACAACAAAAUAUAUAUUUCACGGGGGAAGAUCAAAGAUGGACAUGGACAAGGGAGCAACAUUAAAAGAAAAGAUGUGGAUCAAAAUUCUUGGACAAAAGGGAAGCACACAAGUAGGGGGAGCAAGCUCAUGAACAUUGAUUGUUUGCAUUUGAUAUGUGCAUAUUCAUGUGCUUGCUUGCAUUGCAUAAGUUUUUAAAUUCAAUAUGCAUGCUUGUGUGGUGUAUGCUAGUUAUAGAACUUGAUUGAUGAUAUGAUAACUAGCAUGCAUAGGUUGGUAGCUAGACUUGUGCUUUCCAAGUAAAAACUAGACCCUUGCUUAUAAUGUUGAUCUCACGGGGUUUCUAGUGUUUUUGUUGUCUAGCUACACAUGGUGCUAAGGAUGGUGUACAUUGAAUGCUUCAAAUGAUAUCGAAUUUGGUAUAAAGCUGCAAAGGUUUAUUCUAUGCACCUUAGCACUUAGUUGGGUUUUAUGGUCCUUAUCCAAAUCUUGACAUAGAGCUUAAAUGUUGGAUAAGUAGCAUAAAAUCUGAAUCAAGUUAGCAAUUUACACUUGUGUAAAGUGCUAGAUUAAAAAGGCUUAAUUUCCAUAUCUUUGUAGAGUUGUCAUCAAUUACCAAAAAGGGGGAGAUUGAAAGGUCCUUGUUUGGUUUUGGUAAUUGAGUGACAACUUAGGUGUACUAAUAAUGUUUAUGUGAGAUACACAGGAGAUUAGUCCACUGGUGAUGAUGUGAUGAUGAAGGAGCUCAUUGCAUAUGAGACAUGACAUGGAGUCAUGUGACCAAGGUGGAGAAGAUCAAGAUGAGGCUUGGCUCAAUGAACCGGUUCCAAGAGUGAAGGGAAAGUCGGAGGCUUUGAAGCGAGGGACCGCGUGUGACGGUGAAGCUUGAGCAAGACUUGGCGCCGAUAAACCGAGGCAACGGUGAAGAGCAAGUGAGGUCAAGAUCGAUGAACCAAUACGGUCACGUGAUGAUAUCAAGUGGAUCAUAUCAUUUGGUGAUUGGUUGGUGCAUGUGUUGCAUCAACAUUGGAGGAGAUGGAAUGGAAAGUGCAAGGCAAAGGUAUAACCUAGGGCAUUUCCAUUUCACUGGUCAUAGGUGUGUAGAGAAGUUUAUGACCGGAUUUAGGAUAGAUGGCCGUACUAUCAAGAGGGGCAAACUUGUUUGCAUAUCGGUCAUCUAGUGCCACUUGAGCGAUCUAACUUUGCAUACGUGUUAGGAUCGAGUGGCAUGCAAGUUGAGAGGCUAACUCCUUCGAAAAAAUAUUUGUGAAAAUGCUAAAAAACUUGCACACGGUGGUGUACACUUGGUGGUGUUGGCACAUUUGCAAAGGAGAAGGUGUUGGAGUUGAUUUUGAUCAACUUGGAGAAGAGAGAGAAGUCUUUCGGUGUUCUCCGAACAUUAGAAUGGCUUUUAGAUUGGAAUACUACUUUGAUCCAUUUUGAUUUGGAUUGAGUAUUCAUAUAGAUUGGAUAGCACUCUAAGUAUGCUUUCCAAAUUGUCCAAGAUCAUCAAAUUCGGAGUUCGGAGCUAGAAGUUAGCAACCUAACAAGUUGAACUGCAGGCACAGGACGCUGUGAGUCCGGUGCACAUAGGACGAGUCCGGUGUGACAGGACGCUGAGAGUCCGGUGCUGCUGCAAGUUUGUAUUGCUCUCUGCGUACGGGUCCGGUGCACACAGGACGAGUCCGGUGUGCAUAGGACGUUGUGAGUCCAGUGCUGCUGCAAGUUUGCGUUGCUCUCUGCAUACGCGUCCAGUCCGCACACGACGCGUCUGGUGUGAAGCAGCAGAGCGUCCGGUGCUACUGUUCUAGACGCGUGUGCGUGUGCUAGCCGUUGGUGGCAACGGUCGAGUUCAAACGGCUAGUGACACAUGGCUGUUUCUAUAGCACCGGACGCACUGUUCAGCGUCCAGUGCUACCUGCAGUGAGUCCGGUGCUCACGACUUUUACCCAGUGAAGGGGCAACGGCUAGUUUAGCCCUUGGGGCUAUAAAUAGAAGUGGUGGCCAGCCUUAGCUAGUGCUGAGCACCCUUGGGACUUAGUGUCCAUGCUUGGGGAGUGCUAGGAAAGCCUCUAACUCACUUGUGCUUGCAAGAGUGCAAAUCAAUAGCGGUUGAGUGAUUCUAGUGCGUUGCAUUGAGAGAUUGCAUCGACUGGCACUAGGUGUUCGUGUUGCAAGCCGGUGGUGCUUGUUGCUCUUGGAGGUUGCCACCUCCUAGAUGGCUUGGUGGCUUGUGACUCCGUCGAAGCACGCAAGGAGAUUGUGUGGUGCUCUAGAGAAGAGAAUGUGAGGGGUAUGGUGCUCACCCCGCGGGGAUCGCGAAGGGCAACUCUAGUUGAGCUAGGCGUGAAGAGCGACAAGUGGUCCGACCGGGUCAAGUGCUAGAGCUUGUGGUAAGCACUCCAUGUGGGAGAGUGUGAUUUUUGGGUCGCCACUAGCAAGAUCACCGACGGCAACCUUGGAGCUUGUCUCAAUGGGGACGUAGCUUGGUGGCAACCAAGUGAACCUCGGGAGAAAAUCAUCGUGUCAACAUUGUUCUUCCCGUUGGUUUGCAAGUCCCUAACACAAGCUUGUUCUUACAUUCAUAUACUUGUGCUUGUGUAGUUGCUCUUGUAAUUAGUUAGCUUGUGUAGCUUGCUAGUUACCUUCUUGCUUGUGUAGCUAGAAGUAGUUCCCUUUCGUGACUAAUUUGGUUUGUGUAACCUUGUUAGUCAUAUUGCUUAGUUUGUGUAGCUAAGUAAUUUGCGCUCUCUAAUUUGGCAUUGGUUCCCUUGUUAUUGAGCUUGCUAGUGAGCUUAGGCUUUGUCCGCUUUGCCUCACUAGUUUGUGUAGGAGCUCCCCCGGUUUGCAAAGUACUAGUUGCAUAGGUUUGUGUGACCUUGCUCCUAGAAUUGAUGAAAGGUCCAAAUGGCUUUAGGGGGGUGAAUAGCCUAUUUAAAAUUUCUACAAACUUCAACUAGACAAGUUGAUUAGUAAAACAAAAGGCAAAGCUAUUCUAGCACUAGCACAACUAAGCUAUGCAAGCCACCUACACAAGUCUAGCAAGAAAGCUAAACACUAGUUACAACAAGAAAGCACAACUAGAAUCUUGCUACACUCCUAAACAAGAUAGCUAAGCUAAACAAGCUACACAGCUAGCAAGGUAUGCACAAAGGUAAAGGAGAGGGGAGCGAUUGUUAUACCAAUGUUGUAGAGUAGAAAUAUAUCCAAUCAAUCACGUGCACAAUCACAAGAGAGACCUCAGCAAGAGAUGACACAAGAUUUUUUACAGAGGUUCACUUGCUUCCCGGCAAGCUACUCCUCGUUGUGGCGAUACACCCACUUGAUGGAUCACGAGCUAAUUGGCAAUCCAAAGCCAAACCCUCAGCGGGUGCCGCACAUCCACUCACAAGAUGGGGAUCCUCCAAGCCACGAGCAAUCCACUAGAGUAGCCAAUUGUGAUCUCCCGCGGGGAAGGCUCUAGAACCCCUCACAAAUCACUUGGUGAGGCUCGAAACAAUCUCCAAUCACGAGCUCAACACCACCGCUGCUCCAAGCCGUCUAGGGCGUCGGGAAACACCCAAGAGUAACAAGAUAUCCGCAACAAACUCAAGAAUCAAGUGCCACUAAAUGCAAUUCCCAAAGCAAUGCACUUGAAUCUCACUCAAUCUCACUAGGAUUAGCAAUCAAGCAAGGAGAUGAGUGGAGGGAGUGUUCUCUAGCUCAAUGUAUGUCUCUAGUAAACAAAUGUGCAAGAGAGAACCUCCCAAAGCCGGCCACUAACUAUUUAUAAGCCCCCUCAAAGAACUAGCCGUUGGCCACUUUCAAUGAGCUGAAAUCGAGGGCACCGAACGCUCGACCCAUUGCGUCUGGUGCACUGGGGUUGGCCACAUGUCCUUCUUGAAUCUCGCGUGUCAGAUCCUAACGGUCACCUGUGGAUCACCGGACGCUCUGCAGGUCCACACCGGACAUGUCCGAUGCACACCGGACUCAUGCGCAGAGAGUUCCGCAAACCUGCAGGGUCACCGGACGCUAAGCACCGGUAGCGUCCGGUGCUCACCGGACUAAAGCGCAGAGAGGUUUGCAAAACCUCUUCACACCGGACGCACACCACCGAACGCUCUCAGGGUGCGUCCGGUCCCCAACCCUAGUAGGGUCAAGCACACCGGACUCCGAGGCCAGCGUCCGGUGCCUCCACACUCAGCGUCCGGUGAGUGUUUCUCAGUGAGAAAACACUCCCGCGUCUUCUCCAAAUUUCUCAUCAGCGCAAUAGAAAAUAUGCACUUAAUUUUCUCAAAAGUGCCGAAUCCCGCCGAGAGGAACCCACACCCCUAUCAACCCUAGGAACUCCACCUCCUUUGUAAAUGUGCUAACACCAACAAGUGUCCACCACCAAAGUGCAUGUAUGUUAGCUUUUCACAAACAUUUUUACCCAAAGGAGUUAAGUUAACACUUUACUAGAUCCUAAUGCAUAUGCUCAAGAUGUAGACCUAGUACCACUUGAUUCGAGAGAUGACCGUGAUUUCCCCUCUUGAUAGUCGGCUAUCUAUCCUAAACCCGGUCAAUCACUUCUCUACUCAUCUUAGACCGGCAGAAGUAAAACCCUAUGUUUAUACCUUUGCCUUGAUAACUUUUGCUCCUCAUCUAUCAUCAUGUUCUUCACUUCAUGCUUCAUCCUUUUGUGAUCAUGUGGCCACCUUUUCAAGCCACCAUGCACCUUCAUCACAUGUGUUGCUAUGCCUAACUCAAUCACUUAAACACAAGGCAUUAGCAACUUGGUGUCAUUAAUUACCAAAACCAAACUUGGGCUUUCAAUUGAUUAGGUAAGCUCUUGCUAAGGUAGCACCAUGCUUGCUUGUUUAGGAUCUUUUCAAGGUGCUAGAGAAAUUAGAUAGAGGGGUGUAGUCUUGGCUAGACCGAUAGUUUUAAUUCCGCAUUUGUUUCGGUUAGCCGACGUAAUAAAUUUUAGAAAGGACUAUUCACCACCCUCUAGUCCGCCAUCUCGACCCUUCAGCGUCUCCCCCUCCUUGACCGCACUAGUGCCGAACCAUCCUCACACCGUGCUCAUUUCUCCUUCUCCCUGCCUCAGUUACCUCUCUCGUGAGUGCACAAACCGCAGAGCAAAAGCUCACCGGAACGCCAUGAACCACCCUGCUCCUUGCCAUCAUUUCAAGUCGUCUCUAUCGCCAAUCUUCACGUGGGUAAGCUCGCCAACUCCUUCUCUCUCUCCUCGGUUUUCUCCUGAGCGAUUUGGUGGCUUCUAGAGCCCUAUCUGAUGUUGGUCACUUGCUGACAGGGAGUGUAGUAUCCAAUAGAUGAGGAGCCCUAUAAGAUGCCUCUUACUAAUACGUGGGAAGAUAAUGAUGAUCCUAUCCUUGAAGAAUGUUAUGAGUAUCAUGAAGCUGAGUACUAUCAAAAUAAUAAUACUGAAGAGCAAGUUGGAGGUGAAUCAAAUCAGAAUCCACAACGGCGAAAGAUAAAAAGGAAAAGCCGUAAGAAGCCUACUCAUGGAAGUAAGGUGCAACAAAACUAUAUUCAUUGAAGACUGAGCAAUGUGGAUAGGCAUAACAUUCAGGGAGCUACCAAAGUGGUGGGUGGCUAUAUUCAAGUAAACUCAGUGCUAGUUUUUGCUCUGUUUGACCCGAGUGCUUCGCAUUCUUUAAUUUCCACCGACCUCGUAAAGACAAUCGAGAGGGUGAAGUGCCCAACAAGGAAGCCUUUUUUAGUUCAAACCCCAGUGGGAGAAAUACAAGCAAAUUAGGUUUGCUCAAAUAUCAAUCUGGUCAUAAACAAGGAAAACUUCACUAUAAACCUCAUUGUGUUAGAGUCACUUGGUAUUCCCUUGGUCCUUGGUAAUGGAUGGUUGUGUGCACACAAAGGUGUGAUCCACGGUACCAAGUACAAAAUGCUUUUAAGAGCACCAUUAGGGAAAAGAAUUGAGUAUCACGGUGGUUCACUUCUACCUGAGGAGGCAAAUGCAUAUUAAGUUUCCAUGUCUCCUUGAGUUGUAAGCUAAAAAAAUAGUAGUCAAGAUGGACUUUGAUCAAUUAUAAAUAAUAGUUAUUCAAUGGAAAUAUUGUUCACGACAUGUGACCUUGAGGUAUAAUUUGUACAUUUGGUAUGCAAGUUGUGAAGUUGAAAGAGUUAUUAGGAUCUUUUUCCUGUUUCCCUUUGGAAUCUGAGCCUCUCCGAAUCUCCAGGACGAGAUUCAUUUUAAGGUGGUAAAAUUGUAACACCCAAAAUUUUGUUCUUUUAAAAUAUAUGAAUUGGAUUUAAAUUAAUUAAUUUUUGUGAGCAUUACAAUAUAGGAAAAGUAAAUAAAUUUUGGGAAAAUAAAAUUUAAUAUUAGUUUAGAAAACAUUUUUUAUGCACUCAUGUUGUGGCAUUUUAUACUGUGAAGUGUGAAUUUAUGCAAAGAAAAAAUAUUCAAAUGCAAUUUGAAAAGGGUUUGGAAAAUUUAUUUAAAAAAACAAAAGGAAGUCUUCUCUCUCCCAUUGCUAGGCGGCGCCCGCUAGUCAUCUUCACCACCUCCAACCUCCCAAUCUCCUCGCUCUGGGGCCGAACAACCGACUCUGCAACCGCGUCCACGAUUUUAGUCAUGGGAGCGUCUCCCCCUCCUUGACCGCGCUAGUGCCGAACCAUCCUCGCCCCGUGCUCAUUUCACCUUAUCCCUGCCUUAGUUCCCUCUCUCGCGAGUGCACCAACCGCAGAGCAAAAGCUCACCAGAACGUCGCGAACCACCGUGCUCCUCGCCAUCAUUUCCAACCGUCUCUGUCGCCAAUUUUCUCAUGGGUGAGCUUGCCAACUCCUUCUCUCUCUCCUCGGUUUUCUCCCGUGCGAUUUGGUGGGUUCUAGAGCCCUAUCUACGUGUGCCGAGGACAACGGCCACGGCGCCGCCGUGGGCCGCCACGAUACGCGUCUUCCCGGCCACGCCAAGUGUCCCGGCGAGUUUGCCUUGCCUCCCUCUUCGUCCCUAUGCACUCGGUUGGGUCAAUCGUGGCCCGGUGUCCUAGCUCCGCGAACUCCGAUGGGCCGUUCAUGAUGCCGCCGUGAACCUCCGCGGAAACCGCCUCCCCGACCGUGCUUAUGUUUGGGAACAGACUCGACUCGCUCUCCUCUUUCUCUCGGUUCAAACGGAAUCGAAAACGGUAUCCCGUAGCCUACUAACGCCCAACGCCGGCGAGCUCCAUGCCGCCGUUAAUGGCUGCGUUGCCAUGGCCUCCUUCCCUUCCAGCAGCAGGCGCCACCUCCCUCUCUCUCUUUUUUUCUUUUCUUUUAAUCUCGUGCGUUCAUCUGCGAUCCAAUGGCCGUGAGUGGCCCAUACCCCUUCACGGGUUCUUUUGCUAAAGAAACCCCCGAGAACUUUGUAAUCCUGCCCGUGGUCCUCGGCCAGGAGCAAUUCCUGAAUUUCUUUAUUUAAUUAAAUUCGUUUAAACGUUGCUCUAUUUACAGAAUUGCCACUAUAUUGUUUCAUAAUUUUAUAGGCUUCGUGUUGGUACCACUUGUUGGGCAUUCUUGACGUCAGUACCAAAAGUAGACUUAGUUUUCUAAUUCUGAUAACGGCGCUAAAAAUGCCAAACCUAUCCCUCAUACCACUUAAGCCAAGUUGUCAUCCCCAGCAUGACAUAAGAGACGCGGUAUUGAAAUAUGCAAUUGCUCUUGUAAAUAAAUAAUCAAAUGGGAUCUGCAAGCGCACAUAUUAAUACCGAUGUAGCAUUUUAACCGGAAAGUAUUCCAGGUAUCGUUAUUUAUAUUUUUACCACUGGAAAUUAGUAACCAUCAAUGUUGAUUAUAGAAUGGAAUAUAAGAUUGAGUAUCUAUCAUUGCAUGUAUAAUUGAGAACAUUUAUCUAACUCUUUCAUACAGGGAUAAGUGUCAAAUAAAAGAUAUUUAAAGUAAUGAAUGGUGACAAAGAUAAUUAAUCUGAUCAACAUAACUAGCCACAUAUAAAUAUAAUAAUCACCUCAAUUAGAUAAUCUAGCAAGUCAUUAGCAUGGAAUUAAAACGAACUACAAGAAUAUUUCCUAACUUAUUAUUAACUAUACAGUCUAGCAUAUUAUAGUUAGUGCAAUUAUACUUAGCAAUCAUUGUGAGACAAGAUUACGCCCAUGCAUAGUGAUAUUAUAAAGGAAUAUGAGAAACAUAGCAAUCACUCCCCUGUAAUAAUGUUGCUCUGCCAGCCCUAUACACGAGAGGGGGACUAUAUAAGAAGCAAUGAAGCUGUCACUAUCACGAACUACCCCGCGAUGUGGCAUAUAGGGUACAAUCGCAGAUAAAUACGGUAUAAGCACCACGCCUACACAAUAUCUAUCAUUUACCCAUGGAUCUGAUGGAUAAACGCUAUACGAUCCUAAACAUGUAUAUAAUUCCAAUCUAACUAAGCCAAGUAUAUAACUAUGAUAAACUAAGAACAAUAUAAUUGCGAAUAUAAACAAGUAGAGCAAAGUCGUAAUCAAUAUAUUGAAGUAGAACAAAGUCAUAUUCAUAAUAUCGAAGAACAAAGAUGAACAAUUAGAAGAACAAUUAGAGAAUUACCAAGAAUCCUCUUGACAGAUCCAGAAACCAAUCGAAGAUUGACUCCUUCUAGUUCUAAUCCUAUGUAGCUAUGCUAAUCUAGAUGUCUAAUUGAUGUGGUGGCUCUAGGCUUGAUCAGAGGCUUCUUCUCCCUUGAUGAAUAAUGAAUUAGGGUUGAGAGGCUCUCUCCUCCAGGGGCUAGGGUGUCUAGUUUUAUAGUCCCUCCAAGUGAAUAUGGGCCAUCGGAUCAAACCGACAUUGAUUGAACGGUUAUCCUUGAUCCUUUAGGUCGGUGGAGCGUAAUCCCGAAAGAGAGUCCUGAUUGGACUCCAGCAGGGGGCGGGCGCCCUGGGCCAGGCUCCGUUUCGCCUCCGCUUCGUUCUCGUGGCUUCUAGAGUCUUCUAGAUGUAAGAUAAUUGUGUGACAUGUUGAUAUCUCUAUGUAAUCCCGACAUGUGGGCCUUUCUUCCGUAUUUCCUGAUAACCCCCUGCAGAAAUAGACAAACACCAAAACUCGUGGAAUUCUGUCAGAUAAAACCCUAAGUCUAGAUGUUGAUUUCAUUUAGAUCCUUUUCUUUGUUUAUUUGAUAAUUAAAUUUGAUACUUAAGGACUGUCAACAAAUACCCCAAGCUUACCUCUUGCCGUCCCUAAGCAAGGAUAAUCUCAGCGAUGGAUCAGAAGUUGUUGUAAUGCCUUUAAAAAUUGACCGUACACAUGCUUUUAAAUAAGAUCUCAUCUCUGAGUUAGAGUAAACUAUCAAGACUUAAAACUUACUUACUUUACCUUUCACCAUGGGACUUGUAACUGUCACUUCUGUCUUGAGUGGUGUUGAUAUUUGGGAACGCAAUAAGGAAUUGAUCCGCAAGCGCACGGAUAUCUGUGAGCACUUCACCCGGGAGGUUAUCCAGAGUAUCGUAUUUAUUUUUUUACCACUAGGAGAAAGAGUGCAUCUGACUAACCGGUCUAUUACUACUAACCUUUAGGCACAAAGAAUGUCUUUCGAUGUGAGUGAUAAAUAGAGAAGACUGCAACCGUAGUCUCCUUCUAACCUUGGUAAGGAUGAUCUACUGUUCUAAUGGGGAGGCUAACGGAAUCUUGACACCACAGAGGAUGUUCAACCCGCACCUAUAAACCCUAUCCUUCCUCCUAACGAGAUGCGAUCUACAAAGGUAGCUUGGAAUUAUCACGUUCCUCACUACUACCACGGUCCAGCUAGUCAGGGAAUAUCUAUGAGUACCCCAGCCUAAACACCACGUUUACGCCAGCAAUGAUUACUCUAAACUCUACGCGAAGAGAUUAAAGUAAACUCAUAAACCAUAAGAACAAUAAAACAAGAACUUACUAGAAUUUAGAAGUCGAAUUACUGAAGAAUCCUAGGAGCAAGCUUCGGGUUAGGAGAACUUGAUCCCGCAGGUACAAGCUUGGAGUAGACACCGACAGGCCGGGCUUCCUCCACUCUACACCUCCACUCUAUCUCUCUCAAUCUAGUAGAAACUAGAAGAUCUAUUUCUACCUUACAUUGAUUGCUAAGCGUAAAAAGAAAUAUUAAUUAGAGAAGAGGUUUUCCUUCAAGGGCACCCCUCAGUCUCUAUGAUAAUUUCUUCAUGUCUUCUCCAGGGGCCAGGGGGGCCUUGCUUAUAUAGUCCUCCCCUUCUAUGCAUUUUUGGGUCGAUAGGCGAGGUGGUACUAUGUUUUUCUUGAUCCAAUAGGUCGGUGGAAUAUCCCGAGCGAAGAGAGUCCUGAUUGGGCUCCAGAGGGCGGCGGGCGCCCAGGUCCUCAGGGCGGGCGCCCUGGGCCUGGCCCCGUUUCGCCUCCGCUUCGGUCUCGUGGCUUUUGGAGUCUUCUAGAUGGUGUAAAAUUGCACGGUGCGUUGAUAUCUCUAUGUAAUCCCGACAUGUGGGCCUUUCUUCCUUAUUUCCUGAUAACCCCCUGCGGAAACAGAUAAAUAACAAAACUCGUGGAAUUCUGUCAGAUCAAACCCUAAUUCUAGGUGUUGGUUGCAUAUUGGUCCUUUCUCUUGUUUAUUUGAUAAUUAAAAUUGAUACUUAAGAACCGUCAACAAAUACCCCCAUACUUAGGCUUUUACUCGUCCUCGAGAAAAGGAUGGUUAAGAAAAAUAUCUGGGGUAAACAUUUUAAAAAUAUUCUUUAUAUAAUUGCAGGGUGUUAAAAUUCCACUGUGUACCAUAGUCAGGGAAGUAUAUGGUUAAGAGUAAAGAUCCUUUCUUCUCAAUCCUAUCACUUGGAGUUUUUGUAUAUUUUUGAAAGAAAGUUAGCAUACCUUUUGAUCCUCAUAGGUUCUCUCAAAUCACUCAUUAUCUUUUAUAUAUAUAUAUCUCACUGAGGCUGUUUUAUUUUGCAAAAAUUCUCAAGCAUUCUUACUUUGCAUUUAUUGCCUGAUCAAAACGGGAUCCGAGGAGGGGAAUGUCAUACUCUUAGAUCAAAGACUUUGGAAAUUAAAAACUUUGUCAACUCUUGCUGGCAUAUUGCUUAUUAGAGGGACCAUGGGCUAUCAUUUUUUUCUCUUUUCUCUUUUUUUUUAAGUGGAUACUGAGGUAUCCCUAAUUCUACUGCCGGACACUUGUCCAUUUUUUCUGCGAGGUUGUCGAGCACUUGCUCCUUUUUAUUUCCUCGAAAUAUCUCUAUUUUUGCAUAGCCCAUGCCUCUAAUGCAAUAAUACUUCGAAAGAGUGAAUCUUACUGAAAUAAUGUCUUGAUCUUGGGAGCAUGAUAAAUCUCUCAACAAGGGUCUAACUCAUUUUGAACAAACUCAAUAUAGAGUAGAUAGCUUUUAUAAUCAUAAUUAAUAUUUUCAGUUUUAUCAGGCAUAUAAAAUAGUGAGGAUGGUAGCUAGAAUUUUGAAUAUUUUGAAAUAAAUUCUCCAAGCAACAAUGAUAUCAAGAUUAAGAAACUCAUACUCUACCAUUCCAUAUUGACUUAAGUAACACAGGGUUUUAAAAUGAUUUUAUAAUAAUUGCAAGUUUUUAGGAAAUAUCAUAUAUUGAGAUUAAUCAUGAUUAGAAAUAUUUUUAAUCUUUUCAUCUUAUCAUGUUGGAAACAAUAUUCUGCAAAAUCCAAAAUAAAUGUAUGUGUAACGUGUGCAGAGUGUGUACCUGAAUCGUGGAGUGGUGUAGUUGGAGUGUGUUUGGCAUGUCGAGGGAUCUCCCCCAUACUUGUUUUCUGCUUUCUUGCACAAAGAUAAAGUAGAGACACACAAGACAUAAUAAUAAUAAUAAUACUCUUUAUUAAUCUUGAGGCAUUUAUUACAAAAGACUGAUAGCAAACUGAUAGCAAACUAAUAAUAGCAAACUUAAACCGAAUUUAAAGAUAGAUGACUAAGAUGCAUUGCCUCAAGGUCUAAUCUAGAUAACUUAGCGGCGCUCUAAUUCUUUGAUCUUCUUGUUGGCACUGGCAAGAUCCUGCCUAAGGCCUAGUAUAAUGGUGUUGUGGUUAGAGAGCUGCCUAGUGAGGGAAUUAAUCGAGGACUGGAGGUCUAUGAUAACUCUAUCUAGCCUGCGAACUUCCUCAUCAAUAUCCAUUAUAGUCUUGCGACGCUUGGGAGGUGUCUCAAAAGCAUUGAGAGAGUGCUUCGGGGCUACCUUUGGAGGGAUGAAACGGACUUUGGCUGCUCUAAUCCCUUCAAAGUAAGGCCUUUCCUCCUCCGUAGUGUAGCGAACACUGCUAAUCUCGCCGCUCCGGUUGGUCUUGACUCCAACGACCCUCUCAUUGGGUCUAGGUGGAAGGAUCCUUGUGCCGGUUGGCACCUUGAUAGUGGUCUUCGUCUUGGAUGAUGAUCCUGUGAGGAGUAGGGGUUGUGGCAGUGCGGUGAGAACUGGUUGAGCAUGGUAAGAUUGGGCGGAGCUGCGUUGGCGUAAUGGCAUGGCUUCUAGCUGACGCUCUGUGUUGGCCGGGACGAGAGCACGGGCAUCGAGGUCUUCCACAGGCUCCAUGUUGAGGUUGAAGGGGACGACUUCCCAAUCGUCGUGGUACUUCUCAGCCAUUGGAGUAGCAAGGAACUAAUAAAAUUUUAAUUGAAGUAGAGCUAAUCAAGCUCUAAUUGAAGGACAGCGAAUCAAGCUCUAAUUGAAGGAGAGAAAGCUUGGUGGCUUGGUGUUUGAAAACUGAGGUUAGGGGUCUGUUUAUAUAGGGGUGAAAAGGGUGCCUCUAUGGGUUGUUCGGGUUGCUCCCGUCGACGUGCGUGCGAAACUUUCCAUCCGAGGGAUUAUUCGGAUCACCCUAAGUGCAUUUUCCAUAACAGAGAAAGUCGGGACCGAGGGGGAACAGGGGCUGGGCGCCCGCCCACUUGAUCUGGGCGCCCGCCCUCUCUCUGGCCCCUCUGUGGGCCCACUUCUUCGAGCGCGUUUGUAGAUGCGGAAUUAUUUAGAAAAAUAUAUAUAUGACCCAAAACCAUCAGACCAAAAGUGUCGGGCUCUAAUUCUCCAUGGGAAGGUAAAAAUGGACUACGUCUAUUUCUUCAAAUUCCUCAUUGGGCUCUAAAAAUAAUUUAAGACGUUGACCAUUUACCUUGAAUAACGUACCUUCGCUAUUUUGAAGUGUGAUAGCUCCGUGGGAUGAUGAAUUGAUUACCUUGGAUGGUCCUUCCCAUUUGCUCCGGAGUUUUCCAUGACCGAAAAGCUUCACCCUAGAAUUAAAAAGUAAUACCUUAUCUCCGGGUGUGAACUCCUUCUUCUUGAUUCUCUUGUCAUGCCUCCUCUUGACUCUUUCUUUGUAGAUCUUUGAAUUGUGAUAUGCCUUCUCUCGCCAUUCUUCCAAUUCUGAUAGUUGCAUUCUUCUAUAAUCUCCAGCAACAUCUAGGUCCAUAUUCCAUCUCUUUAUGGCCCAGUGUGCUUUGAAUUCUAGUUCAACAGGUAGAUGGCAAGUCUUCCCGUACACCAAUUGGUAUGGAGACAUUCCGAUUGGGGUCUUGUAUGCUGUCCGGUUUUCCCAGAGUGCAUCGGGUAGCUUGUCUUUCCACGCCGUUCCCAUUUCAUUUACUGUCUUCUGAAGAAUAUUCUUGAUUUGUUUGUUGGAAGUCUCUACUUGGCCACUUGUCUGAGGAUGAUAGGGGGUAGCGACGUUGUGACGGAUUCCAUGUCUUGAUAGAUAUUGCUUGAAGCGUUUGUCGAUGAAGUGUGCUCCUGCAUCACUUAUCACUACUCUGGGGACUCCAAAUCUUGGAAAUAUAAUUUCUUCAAACAUCCUCUUUGAACUGACGUUGUCGGCAUGCUUGCAAGGUAAUGCUUCUACCCACUUGGAGACAUACUCAACUGCCACCAAGAUGUACUCACACUUCUUUGAUGGAGGAAAUGGACCCAUGUAGUCUAUUCCCCAGACAUCAAAGAGCUCAAUCUGAAGGUUGUUGGUGAGUGGCAUUGCAUCCCUUGUAUUUAUGUUUCCGUGCCUUUGACAUGGCCCACAUCUUCUAAUAUAUUGCUUCGUGUCUUCAUACAAUGUAGGCCAAUAGAAUCCACACUGCCAGAUCUUUGAAUGUGUACGGAAUGCUCCAUAGUGACCUCCAUAUGGUGACGAAUGACAUCUGUCGAUGAUCUUCCAUCCUUCCUCAGUGGUCACACAUCUCCUGAGUAAGCCAUCAGAGCAUACUCGGAAGAGGUAUGGCUCAUCCCAUAUAUGUGAACGACUUUCUUGAAUAAGCUUCUUCUUGUUUGCUCCUGGUGGUACAUACCCUGAAACGAUAAAAUUAACAAUAUCUGCAUACCAGGGGUCAGACCUGUUAAUCCCGUAGAGCAUGUCGUCCCGGAGUGAAUCAUUGAUGGGGGUUUUGUGUGGACUCUUAAAAUACAUUCUAGACAAGUGAUCAGCAACAGAAUUUUCUACUCCCUUUUUAUCUUUUAUCUCUAAGUCAAAUUCUUGGAGUAAUAAGAUCCAUCUAAUCAGGCGAGGUUUAGCAUCUUUUUUAGUGAGCAAAUAUUUUAAUGCAGCAUGAUCAGUGUAAACAAUUAUUUUAGCUCCAACUAAAUAAGAUCUAAAUUUAUCAAUGGCAAAGACAACAGCCAGAAGCUCUUUUUCAGUGGUUGCAUAGUUAAGUUGAGCUCCUGUCAAAGUUUUACUGGCAUAAGCAAUUGCAUGAUGCUUCUUGUCUUUAGUUUGUCCCAAUACUGCCCCCACAGCAUAAUCACUAGCAUCACACAUAAUUUCAAAAGGUAACGACCAGUCAGGGGGUUGAAUGAUUGGUGCAGAGAUGAGUGCUUUCUUUAAUAAAUUGAAAGAUGUUAGACAUGCAUCAUCAAAUUCGAAAGAAGCAUCCUUGGCUAGCAAAAGAGUAAGUGGUCUAGCAAUGAAUGAAAAAUCUUUUAUGAAUCUACGAUAAAAACCAGCAUGGCCAAGAAAGCUUUGAAUUGCUUUUAUGUUUACAGGUGGAGGUAGUUGUUCAAUUACUUCAAUUUUAGCUUUGUCUACCUCAAUCCCUCUUUCAGACACUAAGUGUCCUAGCAUUAUUCCUUCCCUAACCAUAAAAUGACAUUUUUCCCAAUUAAGGAUUAAGUGUUUUUCUUCACAUCUUUGCAAAACCUUGUCUAAGUUUUCAAGACAAUUAUCAAAAGUUUUUCCAUAAACAGAGAAAUCAUCCAUGAAAACUUCCAUAAUCUCUUCAAUCAUAUCAGAAAAUAUAGACAUCAUGUAUCUUUGAAAAGAAGCUGGUGCAUUACAUAACCCAAAAGACAUUCUACGAUAAGCAUAAGUUCCAUAAGGGCAUGUAAAAGUGGUUUUGCUUUGAUCAUCAGGAUGGAUCGGGAUUUGAUGAUACCCUGAAUAUCCAUCUAAGAAACAGAAGAAUGAAUGGUUUGCUAACCGCUCUAGCAUCUCAUCUAUGAAAGGUAAAGGAAAGUGAUCCUUUCUCGUAGCUUUGUUUAGUUUUCUAUAGUCUAUGCACAUCCGCCAUCCUGUGACGGUGCGUUGCGGAAUUAGCUCGUUCUUUUCAUUCAUAAUAACUGUCAUGCCUCCCUUUUUGGGCACAACUUGGACUGGGCUCACCCACUCACUGUGUGGCACAGGAUAUAUAAUCCCUGCAUGCAGCAAAUUUAUAACUUCCUUUUUAAAUACCUCUCUCAUAGUGUUGUUAAGUCUACGUUGGGGUUCUCGAGAGGGUGUAACAGAAGGACCUGUUGGAAUACGAUGGGUACAAAUCAUAGGACUGAUUCCUGUAAGAUCUUGAAGUGAGUAGCCGAAAACUGAGUGAUGUUUCUCAAGAAUGGUCAUUAAUCGCAGAGUUUGAUCCUGAGUGAGUUUAUCGCUAAUGAUCACAGGGAACUCUGGAUUAUUGUUUAGGAAAGCAUAUGUAAGACCGGGUGGCAAAGUUUUAAGCUCUAUGGGGGGUCUAGGUGUUUCUGCAAACUCAUCUAAGGGUUCAGGCUCGGAAGGUUCGUCUUCUUCUUCUGUGAAGAAAGGAGUUUCGUCUUCUAAGUCUGGUUCAUCUAAAAGCGCUAGAGAUGCAGCCUUUACUUCCUCCAUAGGAUCAGGCAAAAGAUAUGACUCGGUCUUAUUAUUUAAGGAGUGUGAAAUUAUUAUUGGGAAUUUAAAGGUUUUUCCAAAAGAAAUGUGUAACUUUCCAGUAUGACCUUCAUAAAGGAGUCUUCUAAAAGGUUGUCCUAUCAACAGGUUGAAGUCCCAUGUAUCAAAGAUAUAGAAGUUCAAAUGAACCAUGGAGCCUUCUACCGUAAGAGGUAGGACAUUAAUAAUUCCAAGACUGGGGACCAAUCGUCCUGAAGAUUCCUUUAUGACCUUUGUUGUGGGGGUUAAGACAAGAUUUUUAAAUAGUUUAAGUGCAAAGGAUUCAGACAUAAUGUUGAUCCCCACAACAGGAUUAUAAAGAGCAUUAAAUCGAUCAGAAUUAUAAGCACAGCGUAUAGUUAUAGAGGGUGUGUCCAAACGGAUUACAUAAGAGGAAAGCUCUGAUUCCUCCAACCAUUCGCUACUCAUUACUGAGAUAAGCUCUCUCAAUUGAUAUUCACUUGGCAAAUAAAUGCUAAAUUGGCCGUUUUGGGGUUUGUCAAUAGAAUGGUAGUUUGAAAUAUUCCCAAAAUCGGCAAAAAGAUCAGAUUCUAUAUCCAGCAUGAAGUCCAGUAGUGGAAUUUCUUCCUCUUGUGGCUCAAAACUUGGAAUAGCUAAAGUAGAUGAAGAAUUUGGCAGAGUGUCUACUUCGGCUUCGUAGGUUUCAUCAUAAAGGGUAUUAUCCAUCUCAGCUUCUAGGAUUCUAUCUAGGAUCACUCUAGCUUCAUCAGCAGGGAUGCGAAAGAAAGAACCUCUAGACAUUGUGUGUAGCAUUUGUUUAUGAUUUUUCUGAAGACCUCUAAAAAAGUGAAAUAAAAGAACAGGGUCUUCAAGAUUAAGGUUUGGACCAAAUUCUAAAAGAUCAGAAAAAUGUUUCCAGGAUUUUCCCAAAGUUUCAUUAUCUUUUUGUUUAAAAGAUAGGACGUCGAGUCUAAGGUCGGCUAUACGGUCAAGGGAAUAGAAAUCUAGACAAAAGUUGGCUCGUAAAACUCCCCAUUCACCUUGUUGUUGACUUACCUUCUGACUGUACCAUUGUCUAGCUUCUCCCCUUAGAGAAAAAGGAAAAAGCUUCCAACGUAAAGUCUUAUCAGAAAUGCCUUCAAUGCGAAGACAAUCACAUGUUUGCUCAAAAUCUCUAAUAUGAAGGUAAGGGUUUUCGUCUUCCUUUCCCAAAAAAGAUAGGUUUUGAAUCAUGGCAAUCAACCUAGAACUUAACUUAUACUGGGAUGUUUGGAUAGGCUGUGAUGAUUCCCAUGGUAAAAGGUCAGUUGCUAAAGGGAUUGCAGACUCAUGGAUCGAUUUAGAAUUUUGGUUUUCCAUAAGGUAAGAAUAAAGAAAAUAAAGGAAGAAUAUAAAAGAUAAGAAAAGAUAAAAUUAUAGAUACAAGCUAAUAGUAAGACUCUGGUUAUCUCAGCAACCAUCUUUCUCCCCGGCAACGGCGCCAGAAAUGCUUGUUGAUAUUUGGGAACGCAAUAAGGAAUUGAUCCGCAAGCGCACGGAUAUCGGUGAGCACUUCACUCGGGAGGUUAUCCAGAGUAUCGUAUUUAUUUUUUUACCACUACGAGAAAGAGUGCAUCUGACUAACCAGUCUAUUACUACUAACCUUUAGGCACAAAGAAUGUCUUUCGAUGUGAGUGAUAAAUAGAGAAGACUGCAACCGUAGUCUCCUUCUAACCUUGGUAAGGAUGAUCUACUGUUCUAAUGGGGAGGCUAACGGAAUCUUGACACCACAAAGGAUGUUCAACCCGCACCUAUAAACCCUAUCCUUCCUGCUAACGAGAUGCGAUCUACAAAGGUAGCUCGGAAUUGUCACGUUCCUCACUACUACCACGGUCCAGCUAGUCAGGGAAUAUCUAUGAGUACCCCAGCCUAAACACCACGUUUACGCCAGCAAUGAUUACUCUAAACUCUACGCGAAGAGAUUAAAGUAAACUCAUAAACCAUAAGAACAAUAAAACAAGAACUUACUAGAAUUUAGAAGUCGAAUUACUGAAGAAUCCUAGGAGCAAGCUUCGGGUUAGGAGAACUUGAUCCCGCAGGUACAAGCUUGGAGUAGACACCGACAGGCCGGGCUUCCUCCACUCUACACCUCCACUCUAUCUCUCUCAAUCUAGUAGAAACUAGAAGAUCUAUUUCUACCUUACAUUGAUUGCUAAGCCUAAAAAGAAAUAUUAAUUAGAGAAGAGGUUUUCCUUCGAGGGCACCCCUCAGUCUCUAUGAUAAUUUCUUCAUGUCUUCUCCAGGGGCCAGGGGGGUCUUGCUUAUAUAGUCCUCCCCUUCUAUGCAUUUUUGGGUCGAUAGGCGAGGUGGUACUAUGUUUUUCUUGAUCCAAUAGGUCGGUGGAAUAUCCCGAGCGAAGAGAGUCCUGAUUGGGCUCCAGAGGGCGGCGGGCGCCCAGGUCCUCAGGGCGGGCGCCCUGGGCCUGGCCCCGUUUCGCCUCCGCUUCGGUCUCGUGGCUUCUGGAGUCUUCUAGAUGGUGUAAAAUUGCACGGUGCGUUGAUAUCUCUAUGUAAUCCCGACAUGUGGGCCUUUCUUCCUUAUUUCCUGAUAACCCCCUGCAGAAACAGAUAAACAACAAAACUCGUGGAAUUCUGUCAGAUCAAACCCUAAUUCUAGGUGUUGGUUGCAUAUUGGUCCUUUCUCUUGUUUAUUUGAUAAUUAAAAUUGAUACUUAAGAACCAUCAACAAGUGGUUAAAAGAUAGAACGGUCUAAUCAAGUGCCAUGUCUCUUAUUCUUGAUCAGCUAUAGCUCUGGAGUUUUUGCAGAUUUUCAAAUAAAACUCAGAGAUUCCUUGUAUGACUCUCUCAGAUCUCUCUUUUAUGGUAUUUCUGGAUCCUUACCAAGGCAGUGAUGGUAUAUGCCUUCUCUGCAAAUAUGUGGCAUUUGUGGUAUAAGGCAUAGUGACAUUGCCUUCUCUCUCACCCUACUCUAAUAAGGCUUUAAUAUCUGGAGCUCAUAGGUGGGAGAUAAAGUAUACAUACUGUCGGUGUUUUCCCCACGGGGGGUCACACCAACGAGUGAAUUUGUAUGCGUGCUUCCCUUUCCCAGAUGGUGAUGCAAAAAGACACAAGGAUUUAUCCUGGUUCGGGCAAGAGAAGGCCCUACGUCCAGCGGGGGAAGAGAGUUUGUAUUAUUUUGCACUUAAGUGCUUGUACAGGGGUGAAUACAAGCGUGUAUGAACUAGGAUGGAGUAUGGAGACUCCUCUACGUGUGGGUCUUGUGUGUUCACUCCCGGGUCUCCCCUCUUAUAGUUCCAAGGAGAGGCCUAGGGUACAUGUAUAGGUGACAGACUAGGGGUCGAUAGAGGCAUGGCACGCUGACCUACUCGAGGCCUCCGUACCGGCGUGGUCUCGAGCCGUCCUGUCCUGAUAGCUUGAUGAUGAUCACGCAUGCCCUUAUAUCCCGCCCCGUACGCCGUCUCGGGCCGGUUUGUCCGUGGCAUGCCUGUACGUCGCGGCGGCUGAUACGUCAGAGUGGUGGCAGUGCCGUCAGUCGACGCCCAACCCUUCCCCUGGAAGGAAAUAGGUCUGGUCGAGGGUCGGACGCCAUGUAGCAUCUUGCUAUCCAGAGCAUUGACUUUUGGGGCCUCGAGGCGGUCCUGACUAGACGUUCCAUCCUGGCUUCCCGCGUCCUGACAUGCUCUGGGUCAUUUGGUGGGGAAGGCUGCAAAAAGAAUGACGGGACAGGUGCUUGUUCCGCAUCACAUUUCCCGUGACCAGCGUGUUAGGUGGGAAAGCGACAGGCACAUUAAAUGCCCGGGUUCUCGUCCGCACGUCAGGCGGCGGGCGAUGUCCUUGCGCUCGACGCCUCCUGGUUCGCUCGAGCCCAUUUCCGUAUUCGAUGGUAGUUGACGCUCGACCCAUGAGUGGUUCGCUCGACGCCUUUUCCGUCUUCGAGGUUGCAGCCGUCGAUGACUGUAUGUAUGGCUGAUUAGAACAUCGAGUUGAGGGCCUCGAUCUGUGUAAGGGUAAUCUCGUUAUGUGCAUCAGUUAGGAUACCCCUUACUGAUACCCUCGACAGUAGCCCCCGAGUCUCCAUUUGAGCGCUGGCGCUCGAGUGGAGACUGUAUUCUUAGGUCGAAUUUUCGUGGGGGCGCGCGAGCGACCCCGCUGGGGUAGCCCCUGAGCCCUUGGAGGAGUUUUUUACUCCUUCAAGGGUUAUGUUGCCUGAUUUGCAGAAACGCUGUCGACACCAGUGGUGGAAGGUUCUGAUUGGUUCGUUUUGUGCGGAGGUUUCGACGUACUCUCGAUAGAGCGAGCGUCAUCCACCACAAAUUGAGUUCCUAGCAGGUAGUCCAAGUGAGAACCUGUGCCCCUUUCGAGGGGGUCACCUAUAGCCCAGAUGUAUUCUCAUAAAGCGGGAUCGACGUGGUCGGGGAUACUGAUCUCGUUCGAUAGAGUUCAGCGGCUCGAUGCCUCCCGUCGGGGGGAUUCCUCUCGACUGUCUCGACCCUACCUUGGACAUCCCCAGCAAGUCUUCGAGGCGGGCCUCAAUUUUUGACCACUCGCUGGGGAUCCCUGACUCUGGUGCUCAAGAUCGGUUGUCGAACCCUUUCGGCGGGUCAGCCUGCGACCUCUCGAGGCUUUCACAGGUACGCUCCUUGGCUUACAAUGGAAGGAGGAGGCCGUGGCGGUUCACCUUUUUGCCCGUUGGGCUCGCCUUUUCAGGUGGGAGCCGUUACUGUGUUGGCGCAGAAUUCAGAGCGUCCCAUCUGUGAGGAGGAAAAAAGGACCGUUAGGCGGCGCAUUUAUGGGGGGGGUUACCUCUUUUAUCGGAUCUAUCCGUUGGUGGACCGCGGCCUAUAAAUGUCCCGUGGCGUCGCCGGCGUUCUUCCUUCCGCUUUCCGCUCUCUUGCCUUUGCUCUCUUGCUGCCUGAGUUCUCUUGCCAUCUCACGCGCGCGCGCACCCCCUCAAGCGGUAGCGAAUCCGCCAUCCUCCCUGCCAAGAUGCCUGUCAGACUCGUCGCCGCCGACGACUGGCGCUCGUCGUCGAUGACGGAGCGCCGGUUGCUAGAGCUUGAGAGAGAGGGACUCCUGCGCCACUGCACCUCGCUAUCGUCGCCGGAGUGGAUCGCGCCGCCAACGGACCACAGGGAGCCCCAGCCGCCCGAGGGCUACGUGGUGUCGUUCGCCAAAUUCCACCGCCACGGCCUGGGUGCUCCUCCGAGCCGCUUCAUGCGGGCGCUCUGCCUCCAUUAUGGGGUGGAGCUCCAGCACUUCUCCCCGAACGCCAUCACCGUCGUGGCGGUCUUCGCCGCGGUGUGUGAGGGCUAUCUGGGGAUGAUGCCCCACUGGGAGUUGUGGCUCCACCUCUAUAGGGGCGAGCUCUUCAACGCCCCCAUCGGAACCACCAGCUUGAGGAAACCCGUGCGGGCGGGAUGCCUCAACCUCGUGCCGAAGACGGGGAAGACGGAUAGGCCACGCGAGUACAUCCCAGUGGGAUUGUCGACUAACCAUGCCGGCUGGGACUCCCAGUGGUUUUAUCUUCGGAACGACGACAAUCUCCUACCCGCUUACAACGGUCGCCUGAUCACAGAGCGUCCAGCGGACUGGACAUACGGCGUUGUCCAAGCACAUCAAUCGCGGCUCGACCCCCUUCUCGACGCCCUGAAGAAGCUUCGCUUGGAGGGUCUGUCCGCCGCUCUCGUCCUCUCGACCGUCCAUCAUCGAAGGGUUCUCCCACUGAUGUCUCGUCCGCUGAGGAUGGACGAGAUGGGCCCAGGCGUCUCGUCCCUAGACCUCGAGGCGUGCCGGAUGUCCAACGAGGCUCCAGCGGACGAUGAGGUCGCAGCUCGGGUCAGGGCAGCCAUUGCCGGCGAUUUUAAGCCGAAGCAUGUUAACGGCUUCCCCAUGAGGCCUGAUGUGGGCUCGAUCGAUCUGGUAUGUUAUUUUCUCAUACAUAGCUCAGAUUUUGGAUUUCUUUCGAUCCCUUCUUAAGCCCAUCUUUGUUCUGGUAGAGACGGAUUGAUGUCCGGUCCUUGAGGCCUCCAGUAAAGGAGGACGAGGUCGACCGUGACAGACGGCGCCAGUCCGCCGAGAAACUGAAGUCCGCCAAGGACUCUGAGAAGAAAGGGAAGAGGAAGAAGAACCUCGACUGCCAAGCGUUAGAAGCGCGUCGAGCCAAAUCCAGGCAGAGGGGGGAGCCUGAAGAAGAAUCCCCUAGUGAAGAUGAUGGCGGGGACGGUGAUGACUACAGCGACGAUUCUGAGUAUAUGGCGUCUCGCCUCGACCGGAUCCUCGAGGGUCCGUCUCGAGGCGACGUCGACGUCCCGCAGAUGGGAGCGCCAAAGGAGGGGCCAGGCGGAUCUCACCGCCCCCGUACUGACACCCCUCCUGCGCCCACGACCAGUCAGGCCGCGCCGCGCCCCCAACCUCCCCCUGCGCCAAAGGCGGGUGGCCAAGCUAAGCCCUAGGCGACGAGGCCGUUGACCUGCGGUCGCGCCGCGGCCUCCAAGAUGGGAGAGACCGGCCGCCGGAGCGCCAGUCCUGGUGCCCGCCAGGCGAGAAUCACUGGGUCAAGGCCUGCGCCUGCUCUCGAGGGGCCCGGGGCCUUGACGCGGGGUGGUUCGAGGCCCACCAGUCGAGGUACCGGCAGGCGAGCCGUUCUUCCUGUGGGGUAAGUUCUUUGACAUUGCGACUUUUAUUCUCCUGAUUCUUCGCGUUUUCUCGUAUAACGGUUUUCUUUAAGUCCGUCCCUCUUUUCUCAGAUUGAAGCGGACGCUCGAGCAGGCCCAGCCUUCGAUGGCAAAACGGCUCAAGGUGGGAGCGGGCUCCAAGGACUCAGGUUAGCAGCUUACUCAUGGGAUUUGUGUCGUCCUUACGUCGGCCAUUAUAGCAGCUGACCUUUGUUUUUCGUUUUAUAGACUCCUCCGACCCUCAGCCGCCGACCGGCACCGAGAGCGCCCACCUCAUCCCCCGGCGAGUGAUCCUGCCCCGUCGUCGCAAAAACAAACUGAGGUGCCCCGGCUCCAAGGGCAGGAAGGAGCCCCCGAGCCUCCCCGAUCGGGGGUCAAGGGGGAUCCCAUUACCAUCAGUGAUGGUUCUGGCGGUGACGGGACUUCGAGGGACGCCCAUCCCAUGGACGAGGAGGCCCAUACUUCUCUCGUCGCGGGACAGACGCCCUAGCCUACCGGGCUUCGCUCCCUCGAGGAGCAGAAGAAGAAAGAAGAGGAGGAGCCCGAGCAGGAGGCGCGGCGGCAGCUGCAGGAGCAGAACCGCCGACAAGAGCCGCAGGAGCUCGAGGAGCAACAGCAGCAGCAGCAGCAGGCGGGCCAAGAAGAAGGACCGCUCGAGCCCCCUCCUCACAGUCCGCCCCAACCGGAACCACCGGCGCCGCAACAGCAUGGCUCCAUCCAGGGGCACCCGCCUCGAUCCCGGCAUAGUCGUGGCGGGCGGACGGUGUGGUGGCGCUUGCCUACAUGAUGCGCACCCCCGUCGACCCCGAGUCCAAGAUUCGGGAGACGAUCUACGGCAUGGACGGAAUCGCCCCCGGGUUCCUCCGGGAGCGUCGGGCGUGGGAGGACCGCAUUCCCGCCGAGGAGGAUGAGGCUGGGACGUCGGGUAGUCAAGACGGCACCUGGAAGACGGUAGACGAUGACGGGCGGUUCCCCUCACUCAUCGACUUAUUUCUGCGCCACGGGGGGUCUCUCGAGACCGUCGAGAACCUUAUUCGCGGUGUCAAGGCACGAGCUGACCAAGAGAUGGAGAACUGGUGUCCCGACCAGAUCCGCAUCCGGGCUUCCACCGAUCCGUCUGAGCCCAACAUCUUCCUCGACGAUAGGAAGGAGGCCGAGAAGUGGGAGCACGUCGAGGAGCUGCGCCUCUGGAUGAAGCACGUGGUGAGGCUCCUGUCAGACGUUGUAAACAACGGGCUCGGGCCAGCUUAUUUUGUAAGUCUCCUAGUCUUUCAUUCUUUAGGGGACUUGUUGGUUUUGGGUUCUAACUGUUCGAUCAUCGAUUCACAGGACCUAAAAGAGACAUCCCGUAUCAAGUCAAGCUUUAUUCAUGCCACUAGGGGCGGCUGGGAGCAGCUCCCCCUCCUCAAUGACCAACUCCUGGAGUCGCAGGAGAAGCUCCUCGAAGCCUAUAAAGAUCUUCUAGCACUCGAGGAGGAGAAGAAGGAGAGGGAGGCUGCCCUGGCCGAGGCUCGAGAGGCCUCAAAGAAGGCUAUGGAAGAGGCCGUGCCGCUGAGGGAGCGGGCUCUGUCUGUCGAGGAGGCUGCGUCCAAAGCCCGGGAGGAGGCCCUGUCCUACAAGAACGUCGUUGCUGAUCUGGACAAGGAGAAGGGCCUCCUCAAGACUGACUUGGACUCUCUUUGAGAUUCCUUCUAGAGGAUGAAGGUGGAGCACGUGAACGGCGAGAUCGCCAGGAGCGCCGCGGAAGAAGCGAAGAAGAAGGCCCUCGAAGACCUCGAGGCGGAGCGGGCUUGAUCCCGCAGGCUCUCUGACGACGUUGAACGUCUGAAGGGAGAACUGCUAGAGAAGAGUGGAGCCAUUGCUCAGGCAGGCAAGGCAAUCGAAGAUCUGCGUGUUGCCAACACUGAGUUGGCACGCUCCAACAGGGAGAUCGAGAGAGCCAACACCAAAUUAGUUGGCAAGAAUACGGCCCUGGAGGAGAGUGUCCGCGGUACGUUUCUAUUGUCGGAUUUCUUUUCGAGGUGUGCUCAGUUUUAUCUAAAGUCUUUUGCGUUGGCGUUCAUAGGGCUUAAAGAUGAGCUUCUGGCCACCCAAGUCGAGGCUUGCAACACCCAGGCCCAGCUUGAGGGGGAGGUUGCUUUGAACCGUCGACUGCGGACGGCGAUAAUUGAUCUCUCGACCUCUUGGGAAGUCGAGCCCAUGGACGAGUCGAAGGAGGAGGCUCGAGGCGACGCGUUGGUCGAUCAGCUGUGCUACUUAGGCGCGACACUGAGAGAUCGGGUGCGGGAUGCCCUCCAUACCGGGGUAAAGCGGGCAAUGGUGGUUGUCUACUCGGGCUUUUCCUACGACACGGAGGUGGUGUCCCACGGCUUUGUCACUGACAUUUCCAAGACCGAUGCGGAGAACGAAGAGAGGCUCCACGCCUUGAUCGACGACGCAGAGGUUCCUGGGGAGAGGUUGGCUAAGCUGUUCGAGCCCGAGGUACUUCCCCCUGAGACUAGCUCAGGCGCAGGCGAGGGUGGUGAGGACCGUGCUGUGGACUAAGGCCUGCGAGCCUGCUUUGGGUGCCUGGGGCCCCUUGUAUAGUACUCUGUUAUCUUGGUUUUAAGUAAUACAAUGUCUUUAAGUGGUUUGUUAAAUGUUUGUCUGUCUUUCCUCUCGAAGCUCCUUUAUUCCUUUUUGCGCCUAUGUUUGCUUUUCUCACUUGGUCUUUUGUUCGAGGCGAUCUCGAUUACCUCAAGGGUGAGGAGGCGAGUAGAGUUUCCGUAGCCCGGGGGCGUAGGAGUUCUCAGGCUUGUUGUUUCUCGGUCCUUAAGGGGCUCGAGGUACCUUUACUACUCAACCGUAUGAGAUUGCCGAUAGGAACGAAAGGAUUACUUGGUUUUUUCGACAUUUGGGGGGGUCCCCCCUUGCUAGCCCCCGAGGGGGUGUCGACUAUGAUGGGUCAUAGUCGAUACCCCCUUCUAACGUUGAGACUUGUGAAAAGGUAAGUCGCUCGAGGAAAAGACUUUAUUUAUUCAUUCAUUCAUUUACAAGGCCUUAGUACAGAAUGUACGUAGGAACAUAAAGUUUUGAAAUUCUAGGGGUAGAAUCGACGUAGCUGUUCGAUGUUCCAUGCGUUGGUGAAUGUUGAUGGUCCUUAAGUAUCAAAUUUAAUUAUCAAAUAAAUAAAGAAAAGGAUCCAAAUGAAAUCAACAUCUAGACUUAGGGUUUUAUCUGACAGAAUUCCACGAGUUUUGGUGUUUGUCUAUUUCUGCAGGGGGUUAUCAGGAAAUAUGGAAGAAAGGCCCACAUGUCGGGAUUACGUAAAGAUAUUAACGUGCUGCGUAAUUAUCUUACAUCUAGAAGACUCCAGAAGCCACGAGACCGAAGCGGAGGCGAAACGGAGCUAGAGGCAGGGCGCCCGCCCUCCUGCCCUGGGCGCCCGCCCCCUCCUUGAGUCCAAUCAGGACUCUGCUUCGUGGGAGAUAUCCACCGACCUAAAGGAUGAAUCUAAACCAUACAAUCUAUGUCGGUUUGAUCCAACGGCCCAUAUUCACUUGAAGGGACUAUAAAACCAGACCCUCUGGCCCCUGGAGGAGAGAGCCUCUCAACCCUAAUUCAUUGUUCUUCAAGGGAGAAGAAGCCUCUGAUCAAGAUUAGAGCCACCACAUCAAUUAGAUAUCUAGAUUAGCAUAGCUACAUAGGAUUAGAACUAGAAAGAGUCAAUCUUCGAUUGGUUUCCGGAUCUGUCAAGAGGAUUCUUGGUAAUUCUCUAAUUGUGCUUCUAAUUGCUUUCUAAUUAUCUUUGUUCUUCAAUAUUAUGAAUAUGACUUUGUUCUACUUCAAUAUAUUGCUUAUGACUUUGCUCUACUUGCUUAUAUUCAAGAUUAUAUUGUUCUUAGUUUAUCAUAGUUAUGUACUUGGCUUAGUUAGAUUGGAUCUAUAUACAUGCUUAGGAUCGUAUAGCGUUUAUCCAUCGGAUCCAUGGGUAAAUGAUAGAUAUUGUGUAGGCGUGGUGCUUAUACCGUAUUUAUCUGCGAUUGUACCCAAUAUGCCAGAUCGUGGGGUGGUUCGUGAUAGUGACAUCUUCAUUGAUUCUUAUAUAUUCCCCCUCUCGUGUAUUGGGCUGGCAGAGCAACAUUAUUACAGGGGAGUGAUUGCUAUAUUUCUCAUUUACCUUGCUAAUAUCACUAUGCAUGGGCGUAGUCUUGUCUCGAAAUGAUUGCUAAGUAUGCUUGCACUAACUAUGAUAUGCUAGACUAUAUAGUUGAGAAUAACUUAGGGAAUAUUCUUGUAGUUCGUUCUAAUACCAUGAUAAUGACUUUGUAGAGUAUCUAAUUGAGGUGCUUAUCAUAUUUAUUAUGUGGCUAGAUCGGAUUAGUUAUCCUUGUCACUAUUAUUAUUUCAUAUAUCUUUUAUGUGACACUUAUCCCUGUAUGAAGACUUAUAUAUAAUGUUCUCAAUUAUACAUGCAAUGAUAGAUGCUCAAUCUCAUAUUCUAUUCUAUAAUCAAUAUUGAUGAUUGCUAAUCCCUUCCCAGUGGUAAAAAUAUAAAUAACGAUACCUGGAAUACUUUCCGGUUAAAAUGCUACAUCGGUAUUAAUCUGUGCGCUUGCAGAUCCCAUUCAUUAUUUAUUUAGAAGAGCAAUUGCAUAUUUCAAUACCGCGUCUCUUAUGUCAUGCUGGGGAUGACAACUUGGCUUAAGUGGUGUGAGGGAUAGGUUUGGCAUUUUUGGCACCGUUACUAGAUUUAGAGAACUUAGUCUACUUUUAGUAAUGAUGUUAAGAAUACCCAACAAGCAUUUUUGGCGCCGUUGCCGGGGAAGGUUGAUUACUAAUCAGGAAUGGAAUAAAAGAUUUUGAGCUAUCAUUCGCAUCACUGAUAUGAUUGAGCUUAUCUAUUCUCUCAUACAGUUUUACCCCGAUAUUUUUCAAUUUUAUCUUAUGCAGGGGAAUGUAUGAAUAGAAGACAUCUUCCAGGAAAUUUUGUUGACAAUCCCGAAGCAUUAUUCAAGAAGACGAGAGCCAAGAAGAGAUCAUCAACACUUCAGCAAGAAGCUUCGUCCAAUCAAGAAGAUCACCGGAACUUGUCUUCAGAGUUCGAAGCCAUGGCGAACAAAUCAAUCCGUGAGUUCUCAGCUCCCACUACGGACAACAUCCGCACUGGACCUGCUGCAGAGAUCGAUGGCAACUUUGAGCUCAAGCCUGGACUUAUCAACAUGGUGCAAUCCAACCAGUUCUGCGGGAAGGCACACGAAGAUGCUAGUGCUCAUUUACAGCACUUCCUGGAGAUUUGCAACACAUUCACCAUAUCAGGAGUUUCCAAAGAUGCUAUACUACUUCGCCUCUUCCCAUUCUCACUGUUAGGAAGAGCGAAGCAGUGGUUCUACGCUACAAAGGAGAAGAAUACUACGUGGGCACUCUGCUCAACAAACUUCCUGGCUAAGUUCUUUCCCAUGGGCAAGACCAAUGCUCUCCGUGGGAAGAUUACAAGAUUUCAGCAACAAAAUGAUGAAUCUAUUCCAGAAGCAUGGGAGCGCUUUCAAGACUACAUCCUAGAAUGUCCCCAUCAUGGAAUGGAGAGUUGGCUAUUGAUGCAGACAUUUUAUCAUGGGCUCGGCAACAGUGCCCGAGAGACCAUGGAUGCUGCAGCUGGAGGAGCAUUCUUAUCACUUACUAUACCACAAGCCACAGCUCUUGUGGAGAAGAUGGCGUCCAACAAAGGCUGGAAUGAAGAGAGGACCCAGACACGCAAGAGGGGUGGAGGUAUGCAUCAGCUGAAGGAGGUAGACAUGCUGUCUGCAAAGCUAGACCUGCUCAUGAAGAAGCUCGACGAUAGAGCUGGAGACAAGAAAGAAGUUAUGCACAUCUACGACUCUCACAUGACUUGUGAGGAGUGUGGAGACACUGGACACUCAGGCAACCACUGCCCUGAGAUGCUUGAGGAUGUGAACUACGUCAACAACAACUACUACUACUACUACGACCGUCCUCAACAAAAUCAAGGUUGGAAUCAACAGAGGCCUAACUACUCAGGUAAUUAUCAAGCUAACAAUUCUUACAACAAUAAUAAUAAUUUUCCACCUUUGAGAGAGUUAGUGUCUAAUCAAGGAAAGCUAAUGGAUAACCUAUCUAAGAAAUUGGCAUCUAAUGAUAAAAUGCUAGAAAAUAUAAAUAAUAGAAUGGAUAAUUUCUCUACUGCCAUCAAGAAUCAAAUUAGCUUUAAUAAAAUGAUUGAAUCUCAGUUAAAUCAAAUAGCUGCUGCUGUUCCUACUACUAACCCCGGUAUACCAUCACAACCGGAAGGAUUAGAAUCUGCAAAUCUUGUAGACAUGUUUGAUGCAGGUAAUUGGAGUAACCCCGUCACUGAAUUCACUACUGACUUUCUGCCGGUCAAGAGAGGCGAUCCAGGACGCCCCGUCAUCCCGAUCUCCAUCGGCAUGGUGGACGUUCCAGAAGCACUCUGUGACUUUGGCUCCAGUGUCAACAUUAUACCCAGGGUACUCUAUGAAAAAUUCUUUACAUAUCCUUUAUUAGAGACAACCAUGUGUUUGCAGUUUGCAGAUCAGACGAUAACUUUUCCAAAUGGAAUAGUGAAGAACCUUUGUGUCCGAGUUGGUACCUUAUAUGCCCCAGCAGACUUCGUAGUGGUAGAGACCGGAAAUGAUGAGAGAGCACCUAUCAUCCUAGGGAGGCCAUUCUUGAACACCACAGGAGCUAUCAUCUAUGCUAGUGCUGCCAAGAUCAGUUUCUACGUCAAAGGGAAGAAGGAGACAUUUUUCUUCAAGAACAAGACUACACAAAUUCAAGAUCAAUCCAGACGUAAAUCAAGGAAGAGGACCAACAGGAGAAACAGGAACAAGCAAGUGUGGACCGAGUCAGCUAAGAUGGUCACUGUAGUUCAUGGAGGCCAAGAUCAUCAACUUAAGUCACCGUUUUUGACAAAGAAGGACGACCCAGGAAUACCAAGCAUUUACUGCUCCAUAUAUGGAUAUAGCUUCUACAAGACAAUUUGCGACACCGCAUCGGGCGUCAACAUAAUGGCCGCAGUCACCUAUCGGCUCUUGUUCGGGACCAUGCCACUAAGACCAACAUACAUUCAGCUCCAGAUGGCAGAUCAGACAUUUCGAGAAGUUAAAGGAACAGUAACUGAUGUCCCAGUCAAAAUAGACGAUCACUUUGCCUACACAGACUUUCAAGUUAUUGACAUAGGAGAAGACGAGUAUGAUCCACCCAUCAUCCUUGGAAGACCGUUCCUCAGCACCGUUAAAGCAAUUAUCUACAUUGGAACCGGAGAAGUCCAUAUGCACUUCCCCUCAGAGAAGGUACGCUGUUAUUUUAUUGACCCUGACUAUAUCGUUGAAGAAUCUAAGCAGGUCAGAAAGAGACGCAACCGCAACCAGAGGAGGCAGAUCAUCAAGGACGGAUGGACAGACUAUGAAGGAGAAGUUGUAAGAUCAGAAGACAUUGAGUUUAAACAGAAUUAUCCAGAGGAGAUUGAAGCACCGAGUCAGGUAUGGAAAAUGAAGAUAACUAUAAAUGAAGAGGAGGCGCCGCCGGAAGUACCGACUACGCCACCCAACCAACCUCAGGACGAUUAAGAAAACGGAGAGUCCCGUUCGGAGGACUUAAAAACACCGAACGCCUUGCCAAGAGGUAACCUUGGUAGUUAUCCUUUCCCUUUCAAUUAUUUCAAAUAGUUUACUUAGUUAAUCAUGUUCUUAUUAUCCUAGAAAGAAAAUAAAAAUGUGAAAAACUGUAAGCCCCAUGUUAGUAGACGAGUGGCAUAAAACCCAUAAGUACAUUCACUGUGGUGGCAUAAAAAUAAAAUAAAUAUUUUUCUGCUUUAUAAAAACAAAAAUAUAAAAACAGGGAGUAAUGUUUAUUAAGGAGUCUCAACAUGAUAAAGGCUAGAUAUUUAUGCUAACACUUAAUCAGUUCCACAAGCUUUGUUGUCUAUUUGAGCUCUACAGAAUUUAAGAAUAUAGAAGACUAGCAGACGGAGGACAUUCUAAUCGCUGUCAGAAUGCUGCUGACUUUCAAAUACACCUCUGCCACCUGCUAGCUACAUCAAGAGAAAUUACGUCAAAAUUCAGCUUGGGGGAGAGCACCCCCAUUUAUCUCGAUAAGUAUUUCUAUCUGUCUUUAUACUUAUAUUAUAUUAGAAUAUUAAAAUACAUAAACUAUGAAAAAACCAAAUAAAGAUUUUGUGCUUAUAUAUAUCUUUUACUUAGUAUGUUUAAUAAAUAAAUAAAAUGGCUAUGCUAAUCUAUAUCUAAAUAAAAUUUAAGCAUGGAUGUGAUGAAUAGUUGCUCUGCCUAAUUUGCACAUUUUAAGUUCUCUCUCAAGUUUAGAUAUAACAGUUAUAAUUUAAGGCUUGCUCUAGACCUAAACUUGUGGGAUGAAAACUUGAUCUGAAAUCUAAGUUGUUAACGGAUAUGAUAUGGGAAGGUUGAGCUGCUGUUUAUCUGUUCCUAGAGAUGCUAGAAUUCUGGAGAAUUUUAUCUUUGAAAAUCUUUAAAAUGUUGCAUGAUGAGUUCCUGUAUGAUGAGAGUUUAAAUUCCUAGCACAGCCAUAUAUGCAUGCUUGCUAGACUUUGAGCCACACAUUUAUUAUUUACUGCUUAUGAGCAUUGAGUGUGGUCAAGCUGUGUAGACCCUUAGGAGCUUGUCAUGUGGUUAAAUCAAGAUUUCACUUGCACGUUCACUCAUAUAUGCUACUUCUACUCCGGAAGUACCAUCCACAUAUAUUCACCCAUUCCAUCUCCAGAAUCACCUAAAAAUAUUCUACUCCUAAUCCGGGAGAGAAUAACCAAAAAUAUUUCUGUUUUCCCCUUGUGAAAUAAAUGCUCAAGUUAUCUUGUUACUACCACUUGCUAUAUUAUCUCAAGAGAUGAAUGCUCUGAAAAAAAAAAGAUACGAGGAAAUAAAAAGGAGCAAGUGCUCGGAACCUCGAAAGAAAAGAAAAAAAAGUGAGACGAGAGGUAAAAAUGGACAAGUGUCCGACAGUAGAAUUAGGGGUACAAGAUACCCACCUGAGAGACAAGAAAAAGAAGAGCAUCUCAUUCUCCUCAUAAAGUUUCAAAAGCAAGGAAGGUAUGUAUCCCCUCAAAGAGCAAAGUAGAAUUAGACUUCCACCACCAUGGUUUUCACCAUUGUUAUCACCAUCAUCACCAUACAACAUUCAUUCGCCACACAUGCACAUCUUGAUUUGGCUUAUUGAUUUGUUUCUUUGGAUCCAUGGUUUGACUAUGCAAUAAAUGUCUUGUAAGUAUGUAUAUUUUAUCAGCCACCUAUGAGCUCCAGAUAUUAAAGCCUUAUUAGAGUAGGGUGAGAGAGAAGGCAAUGUCACUAUGCCUCAUACCACAAAUACUACAUAUCUUGAGAGAAGGCAUAUACCAUCACUGCCUUGGUAAGGAUCCAAAAAUACCACAAAAGAGAGACCUGAGAGAAUCAUACAAGGAAUCUCUGAGUUUUAUUUGAAAAUCUGCAAAAAAAAACUCUAGAGCUAUAGCUGAUCAAGAAUAAGAGACAUGGCACUUGGCUAGACUGUUCUAUCUUUUAACUAUUCAAGACAGAAGUGACAGUUACAAGUCCCAUGGUGAAGGUAAAGUAAGUAAGUUUUAAGACUUGACAGUUUACUCUAACUCAGAGAUGAUAUCUUAUUUAAGAGCAUGUGUACCGUCAAUUUUUAAAGAUUUUGCAAUUAUUUCUGAUCCAUAGUUGAGUCUAUCCUUGCUCAGGGACGAGCAAGAGGUAAGCUUGGGAGAGUUUGUUGACGGUCCUUAAGUAUCAAAUUUAAUUAUCAAAUAAAUAAAGAAAAGGAUCCAAAUGAAAUCAACAUCUAGACUUAGGGUUUUAUUUGACAGAAUUCCACGAGUUUUGGUGUUUGUCUAUUUCUAUAGGGGGUUAUCAGGAAAUAUGGAAGAAAGGCCCACAUGUCGGGAUUACGUAAAGAUAUUAACGUGCUGCGCAAUUAUCUUACAUCUAGAAGACUCCAGAAGCCACGAGACCAAAGCGGAGGCGAAACGGGGCCAGAGGCAGGGCGCCCGCCCUCCUGCCCUGGGCGCCCGCCCCCUCCCUGAGUCCAAUCAGGACUCUGCUUCGUGGGAGAUCUCCACCGACCUAAAGGAUGAAUCUAAACCAUACAAUCUAUGUCGGUUUGAUCCAACGGCCCAUAUUCACUUGAAGGGACUAUAAAACCAGACCCCCUGGCCCCUGGAGGAGAGAGCCUCUCGACCCUAAUUCAUUGUUCUUCAAGGGAGAAGAAGCCUCUGAUCAAGAUUAGAGCCACCAUAUCAAUUAGAUAUCUAGAUUAGCAUAGCUACAUAGGAUUAGAACUAGAAGGAGUCAAUCUUCGAUUGGUUUCCGGAUCUGUCAAGAGGAUUCUUGGUAAUUCUCUAAUUGUGCUUCUAAUUGCUUUCUAAUUAUCUUUGUUCUUCAAUAUUAUGAAUAUGACUUUGUUCUACUUCAAUAUAUUGCUUAUGACUUUGCUCUACUUGGUUAUAUUCAAGAUUAUAUUGUUCUUAGUUUAUCAUAGUUAUGUACUUGGCUUAGUUAGAUUGGAUCUAUAUACUUGCUUAGGAUCGUAUAGCGUUUAUCCAUCGGAUCCAUGGGUAAAUGAUAGAUAUUGUGUAGGCAUGGUGCUUAUACCGUAUUUAUCUGCGAUUGUACCCAAUAUGUCAGAUCGUGGGGUGGUUCGUGAUAGUGACAGCUUCAUUGAUUCUUAUAUAGUCCCCCUCUCGUGUAUUGGGCUGGCAGAGCAAUAUUAUUACAGGGGAGUGAUUGCUAUGUUUCUCAUUUACCUUGCUAAUAUCACUAUGCAUGGGCGUAGUCUUGUCUCGCAAUGAUUGCUAAGUAUGCUUGCACUAACUAUGAUAUGCUAGACUAUAUAGUUGAGAAUAACUUAGGGAAUAUUCUUGUAGUUUGUUCUAAUACCAUGCUAAUGACUUUCUAGAGUAUCUAAUUGAGGUGCUUAUCAUAUUUAUUAUGUGGCUAGAUCAGAUUAGUUAUCCUUGUCACUAUUAUUAUUUCAUAUAUCUUUUAUGUGACACUUAUCCAUGUAUGAAGAGUUAGAUAUAAUGUUCUCAAUUAUACAUGCAAUGAUAGAUGCUCAAUCUCAUAUUCUAUUCUAUAAUCAAUAUUGAUGAUUGCUAAUCCCUUCCCAGUGGUAAAAAUAUAAAUAACGAUACCUGGAAUACUUCCCGGUUAAAAUGCUACAUCGGUAUUAAUCUGUGCGCUUGCAGAUCCCAUUCAUUAUUUAUUUAGAAGAGCAAUUGCAUAUUUCAAUACCGCGUCUCUUAUGUCAUGCUAGGGACGACAACUUGGCUUAAGUGGUGUGAGGGAUAGGUUUGGCAUUUUUGGCACCGUUACUAGAUUUAGAGAACUUAGUUUACUUUUAGUAAUGAUGUUAAGAAUACCCAACAGUGAAGAUCGCCCCUUUCUCGUCUGCCAGCUUGUACGUUCCUGGCUUUAGGACCUCGGCCACCACGUAUGUGCCCUCCCAAGGUGGAGUCAAUUUGUGGCGUCCUUGAUUGCUUUGCCGCUGUCGGAGGACGAGGUCGCCCACGUUCAAGUCCCUCUUGCGCACGUGCUUGUCGUGGUAGCGUCGAAGCUUCUGCUGGUAUCUGGCGGAAUUGAGGAGGGCCAUAUCUCGAGCUUCCUCGAGUUGAUCGACCGCAUUCUCUCGAGUUUCUUUAUUUGAUUGCUCGUUGUAUGCUUUGAGUCGAGGGGAUCCAUACUCGAGGUCUGUUGGGAGAACAGCCUCAGAGCCGUAGACCAUGAAGAAUGGGGUGUAUUUUGUGGCCCUGCUUGUCGUCGUUCUUAGGCUCCAUAGGACCGAGGAAAGCUCCUCGACCCAUUUCUUGCCGAAUUUCUUCAAGCGAUUGUAGAUCCUCGGUUUGAGCCCUUGCAAAAUCAUGUCGUUGGCACGCUCGACCUGGCCGUUAGUUCGAGGGUGGGCCACUGCAGACCAGUUCACACGGAUGUGAUGCUGAUCGCAGAAGUCCAAGAACUUUUUGCCGGUGAACUGAGUGCCAUUGUCGGUGAUGAUGACGUUGGGAAUCCCAAACCGGUGGAUGAUGUCGGUGAAGAAAAGGACAGCCUGCUCGGAGCAGAUGUUGGUGAUGGGUCGAGCCUCGAUCCAUUUGGAGAAAUUGUCGAUGGCCACCAGUAAGUGGGUGUACCCUCCUUUUGCCUUUUGUAGAGGCCCUACUAAGUCGAGCCCCCACACCGCAAACGGCCACGUGAUGGGGAUCAUCUGAAGAGCGUGGGCGGGUAGAUGCAUCUGUUUGGCGUAGAACUGAAAUCCAUGACAUGAGCGUACGAGCUCGAUGGCAUCAGCUACGGUCGUUGGCCAGUAAAAACCUUAUCGGAAAGCGUUCCCUACGAGGAUCCGUGGAGCAGCAUGGUGGCCACAAGCCCCCGAGUGUAGGUCCUCGAGGAGUUUCCGGCCUUCUUCCACGGUGAUGCAACGUUGCAAGACCCCCGUCGGGCUUCGCCGAUAUAGCUCAUUGUCCUCGCCAUAGAUUACAUAUGACUUGGCCCGUCUAGCGAUACGGCGGGCCUCGGAUCGAUCUUCUGGCAACUCGCAGCGGAUUAGGCAGUCGAGGAACAGCGUGCGCCAGUCAAACGGUCGACCGGGCCUCUGCUCUACCUCCAUUACUUCAGCCGCCAUUAGUAGCGCUUCGACGUUAUCGGCCUGUUGGGCUGGAGCGGCUUCGACACCAGCUCCCGAGCCCAAGUCGACGGAUGGCUCAUGUAGAUCCCUCGAGAAUGCGUCAGGCAGUACCGUGCCUCGGGUCGACGCGAUCUUGGCGAGUUCGUCGGCUGCCUCGUUGUAGCGUUGGGCGACGUGGACGAGCUCGAGGCCGUGGAACUUGUCCUCAAGUCGACGGACUUCCUUGCAAUACGCCUCCAUUUUUGGGUCGUGGAAGUUCGAGGCUUUCAUUACUUGGUCGAUGACGAGAUGGGAGUCGCCUCGAACGUCGAGGCGUCGAACUCCAAGCUCGAUAGCGAUCUUCAGACCGUUAACAAGAGCCUCGUAUUCUGCAACAUUGUUGGACGCGGCGAAAUGUAUCCUGAUGACGUACCUCAUAUGAACGCCUAAGGGCGAGAUGAGCAGCAGGCCGGCCCCAGCUCCUGUCUUCAUGAGAGAACCGUCGAAAUACAUCGUGCAUAGCUCCGACUGGACUUGAGUCGGGGGAAGCUGGGAGUCUGUCCAUUCUGCGACGAAAUCCACCAGGGCUUGCGAUUUGAUAGCUUUGCGAGGCGCAUAAGUGAGAGUCUCACUCAUGAGCUCGACCGACCAUUUGGCUAUUCUUCCCGUGGCCUCCCUACUUUGGAUUAUCUCGCCUAGGGGAAAGGACGAGACCACCGUGAUAGGAUGGCCGAGGAAGUAGUGCUACAGCUUGCGUCGGGCGAGGAUUACGGUGUAGAUCAGCUUCUGGAUUUGGGGGUAACAUGCCUUGGUCUCCGAGAGCACCUCGCUGACGAAAUAGACCGGCCUCUAGACUGGUAACGCAUGCCCCUCCUCCUGCCUUUCGACCACCACUGCUGCACUGACGACCUGGGUUGUCGAGGCAACGUAAAGGAGCAGUGGUUCUGCGGGUUGAGGUGGGACCAGGACUGGUGCUGAGGUCAGUGUUUUCUUUAGAUUUUCGAGGUCUUCCUCAGCCUCGGGGGUCCAAGAGAAACGCUCGACCUUCUUCAGAACUCGAUACAGCGGCAACGCCUUUUCUCCUAGUCUUGAGAUGAAACGACUUAGCGCCGCUAAACAUCCCGUGACUCUCUGUACGCCCUUGAUGUCUCGAAUCGGCCCCAUUCUUGUGAUGGCCGCGACUUUCUCGGGGUUGGCCUUGAUCCCGCGCUGGGAAACGAUGUAUCCCAGGAGCAUGCCUCGAGGCACGUCGAAAACACAUUUCUCAGGGUUGAGUUUGAUCUGGAUGGCGCGUAAGCAGCUGAAAGCGAUCUCGAGGUCCUAGAUCAGGUCUGCCCGUUGCUUUGACUUGACGACGAUGUCAUAGACAUAGGCCUCGACCGUCGACCCUAUGUGCCUGCCAAACACAUGGAGCAUGCAGCGCUGGUACGUGGCUCCCGCGUUUCGGAGCCCAAACGGCAUGGUUACAUAGCAAUACAUCCCAAAAGGUGUGAUGAAAGAGGUCGCGAGCUGGUCGGACUCUUUCAUUUUUAUUUGAUGAUAACCAGAAUAUGCAUCAAGGAAAGAAAGGGUUUCACAUCCCGCAGUAGAAUCAACAAUUUGAUCAAUACGUGGUAAUGGAAAGGGAACUUUCGGACAUGCUUUAUUUAAACUCGUAUAAUCGACACACAUCCUCAUUUUCCCAUUCUUUUUCUUAACUAGUACAGGGUUUGCUAACCAGUCGGGAUGAUGAACCUCCUUGAUGAAUCCUGCCGCCAAAAGCUUGUGGAUCUCCUCGCCAAUGAUCUUGCGCUUUUCCUCGUCGAAUCGGCACAACCGUUGCUUCACUUGCUUGGAACCGGCUCGAAUUUCCAAGGAGUGCUCGACGACUUCCCUCGGUAUGCUUGGCAUGUCCGAGAGACUCCAUGCAAACACAUCAGUGUUCGUACGGAGAAAGUCGACGAGCACAGCUUCCUAUUUGGGGUCGAGGUCGGCGCUGAUCGUCAGCACCUUGCCGUCGGAGUUGUUAGGGUCGAGCGGGAUCUUCUUGGUUCCUUCUACUGGCUCGAAGCUGCCCGCGUGGCGCUUGGGCUCUGGAGCCUCAGCGGCCAAGGCCUCGAGCUUCGCGACGAGCUUGGUGGAAUUUUCGACCGCCGCCCCAUACUUGACGCAUUCGAAGUCGCACUCGUAAGCGUGCUCGAAGGAGGAGCUGACGGUAAUGACGCCUUUGGGACCGGGCAUCUUCAGCUUCAAGUAGGUGUAGUUGGGUAUGGCCAUGAAUUUUGCGUAGCCCAGGCGCCCGAUGAUGGCGUGGUACGUGCCCCGAAACCCCACCACCUCAAAGGAGAGGGUCUCCUUUCUGAAGUUGGCCGCCGUGCCAAAGCAAACCGGGAGGUCGAUUCGACCCACCUUUAGAGCCUUCUUCCCUGGCACGACGCCAUGGAAGCUGUCGGCGCUUGGUUGGAGCCGCCCCCUGUCGAUGCCUAGGAGGUCGAGGGUCUCGAGGUAGAUGAUGUUGAGGCUGCUGCCGCCAUCCAUCAGCACCUUUGAGAGCUGGGUGUUGACGAUGAUGGUGUCGACGACGAGCGGGUAGACGCCCGGGGCAACCACCUUGUCGGGGUGGUCCUCUCGAUCGAAGGUGAUGGGGGUGCUCGACCAGCUGAGGUACUGGGGCACCGCCAUUCUCACUGCUGCCUCAUGGUCAAUUGCGUCGAGGGCCCACCAUAGAUCAUGUAGCAGUCGUGGACGGCUGGGAAGCCGUCGUCGUCUUUGUUGUCCUCCUUGUUGCCGCCCUUCUCCUUCUUUGGGUCGUCGCGUGUGUCCUUUUUGAACCUAGACCGUCGAAAUGUUUUUUCAGCAUACGACAGUCCUUGAGCUUGUGGUUGGCUCCUCCCUUGUGGUAAGGGCAUGGCUCCUCUAGCAUCUUAUCAAAGAUGCCUCCAUCUGGAGGGCCUCGAGGCCUCUUGCGUUCCAUGGCGGCGACAAGAUUGUCGUCGAAAUCUUCCCGCUGGAACUGCUGCGCUUUCUGCUUCUUCUUGUUCUUCUUGGGCCCCCAACUGGGGGUCCCAUCUUCAUCGGUAGGCUGCUUGCCUUUCCUUCCUUCACAGCUAAAAAAGGCACUGACCGCUUCCUCCCCUGCUGCGUAAUUUGCCACUACGUCCAUCAGCUCAUCGACGGUCUGACGGCGAUUCCGGCCCAAUUCCCGCACCAAGUCUCGACUGGUGGUACCAGAGACAAAGGCCAGGAUGACAUCGUGGUCUGGGAUAUGUGGUAGCUCGGUGCGCUGUUUUGAGAAGCGUCGAGCGUACUCUCGAAGAGUUUCUCCUGACUUCUGCUUGCACUUGCUGAGGUCCCACGAGUUCCCAGGCCGUAUGUAGGUCCCUUUGAAAUUACCCUCGAAAACCCUAACCAAAUCGACCCAGUCGUGAAUCUGAUCGGCUGGAAGUUCCUCGAGCCACCGACUGGCGGUGUCGGAGAGGAAGAGCGGUAGCUGUCUGAUGAUGGCUCGAUCAUCUCCUCAAGCGCCUCCUAGCUGACAGGCCAGCCUAAAAUCGGCCAGCCACAACUCUGGUUUGGUUUCACCGUUGUACUUUGCGAUGCUAGUCGGGGGUCGGAACGGACUGGGCAGGGGCGUGCUGCGGAUCGCCCUGCCGAACACCCGUCGGCCUGGUGGCUCGGGGGCCAUCCGGUCCUCAUCGCUGUCGUACCUCCCACCGCGAUGUGCGCUGUAGCCGCGCUCUUCCGCAUCUCCAUGCCGACGGCGUCGAUUCUCUUCAAUGUCGCGUCGUGCGUCGUGUCGACGUUGGUUGUCGACGGGGAGGACGAGCGUGGUCUUUUUUGCUCGGGGGGUGGCUGUUGAUGAACCGAUACCUCCUUUUCUUUUUGGGUCGGCUCAUCGCGCUUUUCAGUGACAGCUCCUCGACGUUGUGAAGCCGAGCUUUCGGCUUGUUGAACUGCCGCUACUUGGAGCAGAGUUUGCACCUCAUCUCGAAUGCGUCGAGCCUGGGAGUUCGAUGGUUCUGGCAUGUUGCGUAGCAGCAUUGUCGCUGCUACUACAUUCUGGCCUGCUCGAGGGAAACGGCUGACGAGCUGCUCUGGCUCUGCGUCUCUGACGAUUUGCCGGUGUACCUCUCGAGCUCGUCUUCGGACACUUCCGCCAGGUGGGUAAGGCAAGUCUUGUUCGAGGAUUUGCUCGAGCAGGACGAGGCGCUCACGAUCCUCGUCAAGCUUUGUCUUGAGCUUUCGUAGCUGCGCAAGCUGCGCGGCCCUGUCUUCCUGUGGAAGUGGGUUGACCUGUCCUUCGUUCCCAGGCGUCCUGGGGUCUUCUCUUGCUGCAGGGGCUCGACCGCCGGCAGCCGCAUCUUGUGUCUCGUCGGUAGUUUCUACCGCCCCGUCGACGUGAUAGCAUUCCCUAGUAGGGUCUUAGCUAUCGGUCUCGGAGUCGGAGUCCUUCUCGGCGGCGUAGAAACAUCCACGUCCCUCCUCCAGUAGCCGCUGCCUGAGCGAGGUGAUCGUGUAUCGCCCAGGGCCUAAGCGUCGGAGGCCUCAUACCUGGGAGAAAUCUGGCAGCUCGGACGUCAGCUGUUGUGCUUCAGAGUCACGUGGGAGGACCAUUGGUCUCUCUACAUACGUCUGGGCGAGUGAUGCCGCGGCGUUGUCCAAUCUGAAUGGCAGCGCCCUUCUUGGAGUGAACAACCCAUGUGGGAGUAACCUAGCCAUGGGGGAGAGCGCACGGGGCGCGUUACCUCUUGUCGUCAUGUGAUGCUGGGUCGGCAUGUCCACGGUUCCGGCACGCGGCGCUGCCGGCUCUUGUGUCACCUCGCCCCUAGCGCGAGCUGCAGGUCGUGACGGGGCAGAGGGGUGACGAUGAUGCUGUCCAUGCCUCUUCUUGGGCGGGGAGGCGUGGUGGCGAGGGCGUCUCGGGGCCCUCAACCGUGCUGGCGCAACUCAGGCUCCUCUCGGUCCUUUGAUCGAGAGCAAGAUCGUGUCAUAGCCGGAGCCAGUCGACAUGAACUCAAGACUCCCAAACCAAAUCACCGUGGAGCGUGGAAUCGGCGAAGCGAGGGUGGCCAUCUGGAAAGGAGUGGGAAAUUGAUGAAAAACACGCAGGACCCCUACCUGGCGCGCCAACUGUCGGUGUUUUCCCCACAGGGGGUCACACCAACGAGUGAAUUUGUAUGCGUGCUUCCCUUUCCCAGAUGGUGAUGCAAAAAGACACAAGGAUUUAUCCUGGUUCGGGCAAGAGAAGGCCCUACGUCCAGCGGGGGAAGACAGUUUGUAUUAUUUUGCACCUAAGUGCUUGUACAGGGGUGAAUACAAGCGUGUAUGAACUGGGAUGGAGUAUGGAGACUCCUCUAUUUGUGGGUCUUGUGUGUUCACUCCCGGGUCUCCCCUCUUAUAGUUCCAAGGAGAGGCCUAGGGUACAUGUAUAGGUGACAGACUAGGGGUCGAUAGAGGCAUGACGCGCUGACCUACUCGAGGCCUCCGUACCGGUGUGGUCUCGAGCCGUCCCGUCCUGAUAGCUUGAUGAUGAUCACGUGUGCCCUUAUAUCCCGCCCCAUACGCCGUCUCGGGCCGGUUUGUCCGUGGCACGCCUGUACGUCGCGGCGGCUGAUACGUCAGAGUGGUGGCACUGCCGUCAGUCGACGCCGAACCCUUCCCCAGGAAGGAAAUAGGUCUGGUCGAGGGUCGGACGCCAUGUAGCGUCUUGCUAUCCAGAGCAUUGACUUUUGGGGCCUCGAGGGGUCCUGACUAGACGUUCCAUCCCGGCUUCCCGCGUCCUGACAUGCUCUGGGUCAUUUGGUGGGGAAGGCUGCAAAAAGAAUGACGGGACGGGUGCCUGUUCCCCAUCACGUUUCCCGUGACCAGCGUGUUAGGUGGGAAAGCGACAGGCGCAUUAAAUGCCCGGGUUCUCGUGCGCGCGUCAGGCGGCGGGCGAUGUCCUUGCGCUCGACGCCUCCUGGUUCGCUCGAGCCCAUUUACGUAUUCGAUGGUAGUUGACGCUCGACCCAUGAGUGGUUCGCUCGACGCCUUUUCCGUCUUCGAGGCUGCAGCCGUUGAUGACUGUAUGUAUGGCUGAUUAGAACAUCGAGUUGAGGGCCUUGAUCUGUGUAAGGAUAAUCUCGUUAUGUGCAUCAGUUAGGAUACCCCUUACUGAUACCCUCGACACAUACUUACAAGACAUUUAUUGUAUAGUCAAACCAUGGAUCCAAAGAAACAAGCCAAUAAGUCAAAUCAAGAUGUGCAUGUGUGGCGAAUGAAUGGUGAUAACAAUGGUGAAAGUCUAAUUCUAUUUUUGCUCUUUUGAAGGGAUACAUACCUUUCUUGCUUUUUGAAACUUUUUGAGGAGAAUGAGAUACUCUAUAUUUUCUUUUUCUUUUCCUCUCAGGUGGGUAUUUUGUACACCUAGUUUUACUGUCGGACACUUGUCCAUUUUUACCUCUCGUCUCACUUUUUCUUUUCUUUCGAGGUUCCGGGCACUUGCCCCUUUUUAUUUCCUCGUAUCUCUUCUUUUUUUUAAAGAGCACUCAUCUCUUGAAAUAAUAUAGCAAGUGGUAGUAACCAAGAUAACUUGAGCAUUUAUUUCACAGGGGGAAAACAGAAAUAUUUUUGGCUAUUCCCUCCCGGAUUAGGAGUAGAAUAUUUUUGGGUAGUUCUAGAGAUGGUAAUGAGUGGAUAUAUGUGGAUGCGUACUUUCGGAGUAGAAGCAGCAUAUAUGAGUGAACGUGCAAGUGAAUCUUGAUUUAACCACACGACAAGCUCCUAAGGGUCUACACAGCUUGACCACACUCAAUGCUCAUAAGCAGUAAAAAGUAAAUGUGUGGCUCAAAGUCUAGCAAGCAUGUAUAUAUGGUUGUGGUAGGAAUUUAAGCUCUCAUCAUAUAGGAAC